AGAGAGAAAAGUGAUAUAUUACAUUUUAGUUCUGCAAAAUAUGUCCCAACGUCCCUUCAACAUGUAGCAAAAAUGACAGAUAAGAAAAUCUGUGUCAGAAUAAAAAGCCAUCAUCGUCAUCAGUAGCAAAAAGCUCGUCUAGUUGUGCAUCUGUCCACUGUGGAAGGGACUGUUUCACCAUAAGUUGCUGUUUUGCUAUCUCAACUCCGUUGGUGCUCUGGACUUCUAAGUUUGAAACAGGGCUAUUGUUUAUGAGGCUGCCUUGUGCAUUACUCUCGUUCGCCCUUUCGUCAUUAACAGUUGAGAACUCGUGGUGAUGAUCCUGCGUUCUUGUUCUGGUUGCAUCUUCGGCCACUUUUUCCAGGGCACCUUUCUUCACGGCCGCAUUUAGGUUUAUGCUAGUUCUGUUGCUGUAGUGGAAACUCCCCGAUAACAUAUUUUCUUUCUCCUUAUUAUUCUUAUGCAUUAAAUCUUCUCUUCUUUGGGUGAAUUGUCGAGACUCAACGGGGGAGUUCUCCACUCUUCUAUUUUUCAAAGUGGACAUCUUCUCCGUUGUGCUGGCUUUUCCACAGUAGUCUGGAGAGGCAAAUGUGCAUAAAUAAUCAGACAAUAAAAAUACACUAACAGCCAAAUAAAGCCCCUAUUUGGUAGUCUUUAAUUUAUUUCUUGUACUCAUUUUCAAACACACAUUCACACGAUAAAAUAUUCUACGCGUAAAAUCAAAACUUUUCCCUACAUCUGACCACUCAUUCUCCAAAAAGACUACCACACAUUCUCCAAAAAGACUAUUCAAAAAAUAGUUUUUUUCAAAUUAAAGGCUGCCAGUAUGUACAUUCUACACAAACAUCCAUGAGGAAACAUUAACCUUUCAAUGAUUUUGAUUCCAGAAAAUUAUGGGUUAGUUAAUACAAGGUCUUUCACAUACCAAUGCCAGGAUCAGCAAAUUGAAAAGAAUAUGCAGAAUACUUCUGUUCAGAUGGGGGACCAUUUUCCUUGCCAAAUACCUGCAGAUAAAACCAUCAUAAAUACUUGAAGAAAGACAAUACCUAAGAGCAUCUUCAGAUUAAUAGGAAUACAAACUUGAGAAUACUUUAUACAUAUCAUUACAUGCUGCUCAUGUCCACGAUGUCAUAAAAUUGUCUUGGUGUUAUUCUGAAAAUAAUAUUACUACUGUCCAUUGCAACCAAGUAAAUCAACUGAUCAUUCAAGAGGUCUUGUAUUUGGGAAUGAAAGAUACAAAUUGAGAAUAGCAUGCAAUGAUGUAAGUGUUCAAGCCCCAUUUUUGUAGAAAAUAAGUUUUGUAACAGUUAUUUUUUGGGGAAUCUGUGGUUAAAAGUAGAAAAAGUUAGAAUGUAUGGUUGAAAAUGAGUUUUUUUUAGAAUGGGUCAUACAUGGGCUAUAUGAGCUUGCUAUAAAUCCUUGCUAUAAUGAUUUCUGUAAGAACUCGUUCUCUAUCUUUUGCUUGAAAACAUCCUCCCCCAAUAAUGUAAUCCGUACAAAGGUUUCACAGGAAAGCUCUCUCUAUGGUUGAUUAUUCACCAGGAGUACAGCAUUACAUAAUUCUGAGAGAAACUGGAAAACAGAUUCUGAAACGGAAAGCUAGCUACAAGAAGUGUUCAAAUAUGUAGGGACUCAUGUACCAUAGAGGUAUAUUGGUGUCUACAUAUGGAGAUAUAUGUAUAAGCAAAUAAAAAACUAUACAUGCAUCUAAACAGCGUGUAUCAGCAUAAAGGUCUAUUCAGUCCAUGAAUUCCAAGUAACUGGAUUUAUAAGUUCUCCAUCAGAUUGGAAAAAUGUGUAACAAUAAGUUGUGCUUCUAGUUUCUUGCAAGACAUACUUCGUGGAAAGCACAUUUUGGGACAUUACCUCAACGCCUGAGAACAACAUUGUAAUAAAACUCAUAUGCACACGUCAAAGGACACAAGAUGAUUGAAACUGGCGGGGAGUGAACAGGAUUGCAAUUACUUUCACAAGUAGCAAACAAAAUAAGAUUUCAACAUGGACAGUGCAAACAUUGAUUGAUCUUUCCAGAAUGCUGAACUUCACCUGAUAUUUCAAAUCUGAGAUUCUUUUUGAACUAAUAAAGCUUUUUCUAACCGACCGAUGUUAUGUAAGGUGACACACUUUGUAAUUCAAGACAUGAUGGAAUUGAUUCUCCAUGACAAACUCAAAGCACAAUAAGCUAUAGCUUUGAGAUAUUGAUACUUCUACGUUACAAUAAGAUCGAAAUAAUACUUCUUCCUGCAAAUUUGCAGUAUUGGUUGAAUCUGGUACUGCAGCACAAAGUCUUAGAAUAAAACAGAAUUAGUAUUCAUGUCAAGAACAACCGAUUUGUGCAAUCUUGUAUACCAGAACCGUUAAAGAAUUAUGAACAAUCCAAAUCAUUUUUAAGAGCGUCUUCCAUGAAUCUCAUCUAAUGGGGAAAAAAUUGUUUAAGAGGACUGUUUCAAGGAGAUGCCCUUAUAUCUCUCACCCUUUAUUAAUCAGGAAACGGCAUUGAGUCUAGGUUGGUUGAGGAGUGUUAUUAAGAGAAAAUAAGUUUAAAGAUAACCACACAAACUGCAGUCAUUGAAGGCGUAGUCUUAAAUAUUAUUCUUUACACUAGGCAGUAUUCCGGAUUAUAUACAACUAAUAACUAAGUUUUAUUCCCAAUAAAUUAGGGUCAGCUAGUAUUGUUGAUUAUAUGACACUGCAUGUUAAUUAGUAUUUAUAUCUAAAAGAAGCAUUGGAAAGAAACUUCACCUUUAUCAAAUUCCUCAGUGUUAUAUUGAGAUAAUGUGCAGAUCGCAAAGGCUUAAAAAUCGAAACCUGAAAUACAACUUAUGUUCAUCAACAAAUGCAAAAUGGAAGGUAAAACUUAAAUAAAAAGCUUUUUGCUCCACAGAAUACUUUGAUACGUAGAAUAAUAAAAAAAUCUGCAAAAAGUAGAAAUUAAAAUCAGAAAAUACCUUUUGAAGUAUUAACGCUGCACCAAUUGUCAAGUCCUUUCCAUACUCACUCUCAGUGAGGACUUUUUGAUGUAUGCUGGCACCAAUUGUACCAGUAGGAUCCUAAAUUCAAAGAUAAUGAAAUCAGUAUAUAAACCCCCUUGACACUGUUGUCGUCCAUAUUGUCCAAUUUAUACCUUCAAGGUCACUAUCAGACCCCCAAGACCAUUAGGCGUGCAUGACUUGAUGACAGCCACAACCUAAUCACACACAAAAAAGAGAUACAAGAUCUAAGUAGAGACUAAAAGGUUCGUAUGCUUACAUACACAAUUAUCUUAUGUAGGUUCUGCAUAACUCGUACACACGAAUGCACCUUCAUACAUAUGUAGAUGGCAUAGUCUUAUCAACUGAAAAUGAGUAUUCUCUCUUCCCCUGUUCAUUUAUAUGUACCCUAUUCCAUUUUUUCUUUUACACGAAAGCCACAAUAUCUACCCCUUUUUACCUAUCUUUCAGCAUUCAUAUCCAUCUAUGACUUCCCUUUCACUUGGCUAUGUCACUGCUCAACAAUGUUGGUAAGUGUUACUUCUGUGCCAAUGCAUAAAAGACAGUGAGUUGCUGUCUUUUCUAAAAGUAAACUACAGCUGACAAUUAUUAUACUGAACCAAAUCUAAGCAUUUACUAAUUAUGACAUAUUUUAUCUUAACAACGUAAUUUCCCCUCUUCAUCAUUCGCAAAUUCACAUUACACACGGUGCAUAAGAAACACUUAAAAUCAUCCAAUUAUAUUUUAUACAGAACUCUAGAAUCAAUCUUGUCUCUUGUCUCUCUGUGUCUGUGUCUCUGUUCAUCUAUAUUAAAGCUAAAAUUAUACUAUAAAUACCUUAUCAACCUUGCCAACAUCCAAGCAUUUCUUUAUAGAGCUUACUGAUGUACAUGGAAUGACACCAUUUAAAGUGCCUGCAAAAAUUACAAAUUAUAACCCAACAUUUUCACUACACAAUACACCUUAAAAAUCAUUGAAAAUAAAUAAAAAAUAGUCAUCUAUACUUAGAUAUGUGAAUAUACCCAUGACACUUAUACAACAACUGACUACUAAGAGCAUUAUAAGAGCAUUAUAAAUGAAAACCAAUAUUUUCCAACCAAUUGGCAUACGAAAUAACGUAAUGCCAUAUACAACAACUAACUACCUAAGAGCAUUAUAAAUGAAAACCAAUAUUUUCCAACCAAUUGGCAUACGAAAUAAAGUAAUGCACAAAAAUAAAAUAAAAAAUCAAGUAUGUAUGUAAAGUACAACAAACUACCCAGAUAUUCCAGGGCGCAAAACCAAGGGUUUCUGGUGAAAUCUUCAUCGAAUUCCGAAUUAUCUUCCAUAGCCCUCCGUAUGUACUCCUGUGUAGGAAUACCAUUAUUACUAUCAUUAUCACCGUCCAUUUGAUUAUCUCGCGAGGGCACAAAAUUCCGAUUACUUUGGCCCAUAGAUUUGCGAAGCAUUGCGGCCUGCACGACUCCCGCAGGACCCGGGAUCUGUGAAAUGCGCUUAGAAGUAGAAGGCUGUGGUCGUUGUUGAAUAGAGGUAUGAAGGUCUUCUUGCUGUGAGGAAAGCGAAACAGGCGACUGAGGAAAAGGGUUUGCGAUGGAAGUAGACGGCGGUGGGUGGUUGCGGAAUUGGCGUUUACAGGGGCGGAGGAGAGAGGGAAGGCCAGAAUCGUCUACAUCCAAUGCUUCCCAUGGCUCCAUUUCAUUUUUGGUUUUGCAACUCUCGUCUUUUGGAGGGAAAGAAGAAGAAAGGAUGCUAGAGUUCGAAUUGGACUUGGACCCUUGGCCCAUCAUUUUACCGGGAGAUUUUUCUAUUUGGCCUGUCACUAUUCUUUUUUAUAGAAAUGUCUAUAUUACCAAUGGAGAUAAACCGGAAUAACGUCCGAUCUUGUUUUCUGGAUUGAGUAGAAAAGGGUGGAAGUAAAGAAUAAGAAAACGGUAAGCCAGGGAGGAACGACGAGCGGAAAUCAGUCAGGGUCCUCUAGAACCGCAAAACGGCUCGGGCUGACCUUACACCCGGCUAUCCUAAAGGAAAAAAAGAGAGGGACCCUUCCCAUACUAUGGUUAUUAGACUCAAAGAUGUCUCUUCGCAAGGCACCAAAGGCCCUAUUAGCGGAUUCUAAGGAUUGAUUAUUAUAGGCAACGAGGAAGCACCGGGAAGAGCACUUCUUAAUGCUUGCCUGAGACCAUUCACCAGAUGAUCCCUAGGUUGCCGCAAUCUCUUUUAUCUGGAGCAGCUAGAGCUAAGCCCCCAAGCCUCAUAGCAUUCAUAUGAAAAGCACUAAGGAUUCCCUGCCUGCUCAGAUGCGUCAAUCCGCCUAUCGAUAUCCUUUUCCAGGAAACUGAAAUCUUUCAAGCAAGCAAGCUUCGUUCAGCUGACCUUUCCCUUGGGGCUUGCCUGAGGUCACCGAAGUACGCGAACUAAGCUUAGCCCUCGAAGAUUAUCACAUUCGAUUCAAGGAGAUGAAGACUGUGCCUUCGACCGCUGAGAAGUGGAUUCAAACUAUGGAUACGUUAAUGAAAUGAUUCUUUCUAUAUUGCAACAUAUGUCCUGAUCUUUUAAACAUUUUAUCUUUUGUUUACUCUAUUUUGGAUAUUUGAAUAUAAAGUCAAUUUAUGAUCUAAUAAAUAAGAAUAAUCCGCAACAUAUAUAUCAUAUUUUCUUAAUAAAAUACCAUAUUCUUCAAAUGGUAAAUUUGUAUUUUUUAAUUGAGAUAUAAUAUUCUUUUUUUCUUCUAACAUUUUUUCUAAUAAAUUAUCUAAUCAUUCAACUGUAUAUCCUGGCAUUUAUCAAAAUAAUCAUCAUGCAAUUGUGUCUGUGAUUCUUUUAAGAUCUUAAAAAGAUUCAUUCUAAUUUUAGUAAAAGAUUAAUAGUUUUACCUUAGGUUUGAUUUAGACCUGUAUUCUUAGAAUCGAGAGACCUUUGAGCUCUAAAUUUGUAAAUUGCUUCCUUCAAUAGCCUCCUGCCUUCACAAAAUUGUUACUAUUUCAGCUACUUGCUUGCACUGUAUCAACUUCUAGAAAAUAAAAUUCGAGACUUCUGUUAAAGAAAACUCUAUUUUUUGCUAAAAAAAAGAAGGAAACUUUAUAGUAGAUCCUUCAAGAAUCUAUGGGAAAAAGAUUUAGAAAUUCAUAUUGAUAUCAAAAUAUUGGAAUUUUAUUUUUUUCAGGAUUGAUACAAGACUUCUAUUUGGUACAAAGGGAUUUCCAGAAAAACUGGUUUUUUAAACUGAAAAAAGGCUAUUGUUUACAACUCAAGAAUUCAAGAUAGGAUGAUCUGAUUUUCUUCUAUGGUAAUGUCUCUAUUUAUACAAGUUUAUGAGACUCUAUUAUAUCAUUGAUUACAUCAACAAAGGCACCCUUACCUCUCUAUUUUCUUCCUUGGGCCUACAUCUUCACAUAUUGGUUCAACUUUUCUAUCCAAAGAGUAUCUUUUUCUAUUAUUGCUCUUUAUCUUCAAUGUCUUCACAUGUAGUAUUAUUAUCCUUCAUACACCUUUGUCAAAAGGUGCUUUGUCUUCUUCUUUCAUUUCUUCACAUACAGUUGGGGCACUUCCUUAGUUGGCAAGAUUCUUUUAUAGUGGUAGGAAAUCUUGGAAAUUGAUGUAUAUCAAAUCUUGUAAUAUAGUCUUUUAAAAUUUCUAAUUUUGCAUAUCCUCUAUUGGAUACCAACAUCCAAUUUUCAUAUUGGCACAGACACGAGAAUUUUUUAUCAAACAAAUUUUUGGCAAUGUUGUAGAUGGCUUUAAUUUCAAGUGCUCUUCUAUGUCUUAUCCAUGAUUUUGUCACUGUUGGAAUUUUUUUAUUAUUCUCUGUAACAUCAAUUUGGAAAUUGGCUGCAAUAUAUCCAAUUGAGAUUAAGUGUUCAACUGGAUAGUAAACAACUCCAUCAUAUUCUAGACUAAUUGAAUAGAAUUUUAAAAAUAUCUUCAUUCCCUUAGCAAAUCUGGAUACUUCCUUAAUGAAUAUGUCAUCAAACUUUGUAAUUUCAAUAAAAUCAUUUCCUGGAUAAAUCAAAUCCAUAAAUCCAUAGUCUGUCAUGAUUUUUAUAAAUGAAGGGUCACCUCCUUCCAUGACUGUUAUUCUGGGGUAAACAUUAUUUUCCGAAGAAAUGAAAUAUAAAUCACUUAUUUUUAUUUCAUAAGCGAUUUUGACUAGUUCGACAUACUUUUUUUUCGUUUGGAUCUAAAGGGAUUUCAUCUUCUUGGUCUAUGAUGCUGAUUGUUUUGUAUCUUUUUUAUCUCCAUGUAUCAUAACUUUCUUAGUUGAUGAUACAGAAAUGGAAUUUCCUUUAUUAUCAGUUGGUAUGUUGCCACGUCUAGGUCCACUGCUGCUUCCAGCUGUCCCUAUUUGGUAUUGAUUUGGAAAACUCAUUUCUGAGCUCUUUGAUAUAUCUGUUUCAAACAAUAUAUUUUUUAAUUGUGCUGUAAUAGUAUCAACUUGAUUUUUGAGUUCUAUGGCAUAUUUAUGAUGCUCAAUAGUGAUAUUCAACAAUAUUUUCAUAUUUGAGUUGAACAUCUCUGAGAUCUGGGUUGCUCCAAAACUUAUAUCUUCGGAUUCUUCUUUAAGAAAAUUUGUCAUUUCUUGUAUAUGUAUAAUAGAUUGGUAUAACUACAUGGCAUUGGCUCUAUCCAUCAGCAAAUUCUAUGUUUCUGCUGAGAAAAUCUGUAAGAAAAUUAUUAAUUCCUUUAAUAUGGACUAUAUCAAAAUUAUAAAAUGCUAAAUAAUCUUGCCAUCUAUGAAACCUUCUGUAUUGUGGUUUUGAGGGUAACUUAUUCCUGACUAAUCCUGCAACUUGAGAAUUAUCAGUUUCAACAAUAAAUUUAUUGGAUAAUAAAAAAAAUGAGAACUUUUUUAUUCCUCUAAUAAUUGCUAGUAAUUUUUUUCAUGAGUAGUAUAAUUUAUUUCUGUUUGGUUAAAAGGUUCCACUUGAAUAUCUACAAAUUUCAUUAAGAUCUGUUUUUAAUAUUGCUGCUCAAUAUUUAUCUGAGGCAUCAGUAUUAACAAUCAAAUUAUCUUUUUCAUCUGGUAAUCUUAAUUUUGGUUAAUUUUUGCAUUCUUCUUUUAAUGAUUUAAUUAUUUCUGUAUGUUCUUCAUUCCAUCCCUUAGUAUUUGUUUUUCUAAGUAAAACUUGGAUUUUAUUUCUUUUCUUAGAAAGAUUUUCAAUAAAUCUUUCAGCAUAAUUUAAACAUCCUAAAAUUUUUUGAAUAUGUUCCUUGGAUUCUAAUUUAUCUGAAAAACUUUCUAUCUUUUUCGAUAUAUGAGUCUGUAAUUUUAUAUCUCUUUUAUCUAUUGAUAAUCUAAGAAAGUCUAUCUCUUAUUUUUCUAUUAUAGAUUUCUUUUUAGAUAGUACAAUUCCUUCUUUUCUACACUCAUUAAUAAAUUGGAUUAAAUGAUUUCUAUGCUCUUCUUUACUAUUAGAACAUAUUAAUAUAUCAUCAAUAUAAAUUAUUAGAAAUUCAUUAAACUUUUUAAAUAUAUUAUCCAUCUUUUUUUGAUAUAUUUGUGGUGCAUUUUUCAAACCAAAUGACAUAACUAAUCAUUCAUAUUUUCUUUGAGGUAUGCUAAAUACAGUAUAUUGUAUACUAUCUUCUUCCAUUUUUACUUGCCAAAAUCCUGAUUUACAAUCAAAUUUAGAAUAAUAUUGUUUUCCUCUUACAAGAUUUAGUAGUACUUUUUUAUUUGGUAGAAAGUAACCAUCAAAUUUAGUAUAUUUAUUCAAUUCUUUAUAAUUUAUAAUCAUUAUAGCUUUUCCUCUAACUUGUUCAGAGUGUUUCAUAACUAUAAAGGCUGGACUACUAUGAGAUCCAUUACUAAGUCUAAUAAGUUUUUGUUCUAAUAAUUAUUUUAUCUGAUUUUUAAAUUCUUGUGUAUCUUCUAUUGUAUACAUUAUUGGUCUUAUUCUUAUCAUAACAUUUUCUGUUAAUUCUAUUUUGACUUUUGGGUGAUAUGGUUUCCAAAAUAAAAUGAAUUUUCUCCAUAAACAUUUUCUAAUUGUUCAAUGAUUUUUUCUAUAUUCAUUUCUAUUCCUAUUUUUAGAACAUUUUUAUAUAAUAUUCUUUUAUUUUUUAUUUCAUUAUUAAAAAUUGGUUUUUUCUCCCAUUUAUCACCACGCUAGGCUGGCUGAACUCUAUAAGGAUUAAAUUCUCUAUGAAUUUUUAAUAAGUGUCCACAAGGUGUUUGUAUAGCAUUAUCAUAUAAUUAUUUUGUAUAUAAUAUUGAAAUUAUUGUAUAAAAUCAUUUCCUAAUAAUAUAUCACAUUCUAAUUUAUCAUAUUUAUAAAUUUUAUUUAUUAUUACUUGUUUACUUCCAAGAAUUAUAUUAACUUUAUCAGCACUAUUAAUUAUUUGAGUACUUUCUCCUGUAACACCAAUUAUUUUUAUAUUACUAUUAUUAUUCCAUGAUUUUAUUAAAAAACUUUUAAAUAUUGUUAUAUCACCUCCUGUAUCUAUUGAAGUACAAGUUAUUAUAUUUGUUUUUACAAUAGUAAUUUGUAUAUACACAACUAACAGAAAACUUAUCUGAUUAUUCAUCUAAUUCUUUUUACAUAAUAUAGUUUGUCCAUUAUGUACAAUAUAUAAUCAUUCUCUUUUUAUACCAUAAUCUUCUAAUCCGUUUAGAAAACUCAUUUCUAAAAGUAUAUGAGGGUUUAUAUCCAUACUUUUAUCUAUGUAACAUGGUACUAAAAGAUCUAUUCCUCCUAUUUUUAUUGGUACCUUAACUUCUAAAUCUGUUAUAUGUACUUGUCCAUCAAAAUUUACAUACUUAUAUGGUUUAAUUUUAUGAGUUAUUAGGCCUUUAUUUCUAAUCAAAACUAUAUGACAUUCACUAGCUCUUGUAUCUAUUAAUAUAUUUGGUCCAUUUAUAUUUUCUCUUCCAUUAUAAUAUUCUCCUUCUAUUUUCAUGUUUCCAGCAUUCCUAUAUAAUUUUACUUCUUUUAUUUUUGUUGAUUUCUUCUAACUGGUUUUUAUUAGGUAUUUUAAAACUUUUUAAUCUUUUAAUUAAUUUUUCAUCCUUAAAUGUUAUGUUAUUAGAACAUUCUCCUUUAUUUAAUUCUGUUAUUUUAGGUUUAUUUUUUGCUAGACUAAAUUCAUAUUCUUCUGGAAUUAAAUUUAUUUGUUUAUUUGGUUCUAUUAUUUUACUAAUAUCUUAACAUUCUUUAUGAACUUCAAUAUAUGGUUUAUUGGAAUAAAUAUUCUCAUAAUUAGAAUUGGUAAAUGUGUAUAAAAUUCUAUAUUCUAUAAUCAUAAUUUGAUCUCCUGAUUGCAUAAUACCAUCUCUAUGAAACUUGAAAUGUAGUCCUAAAAUUUCAUUCUAUCUUUUACUAAUACACAAUAUUUUGGAUAACAUAUAAACAUAAUUUUUUGAUACGCUAAUUUUCCAUCUAUUGUUCCUAAAUGACUAUCUUUUAAGUUUAUUAUUCUUUCAUCAUGUAAAGUUAUAGUUAAGGGUGAAUCUAUCCCUCUCUAAAUAGUGAUUUAAACAUUAUUUGUAUUCCUGCUAAAUAAAAAUAUUGAAUUUUUUCACUUUGUUUUUUACUAAUCUUUGUUAAUAGUUUAUCAACUGUAUUUUUUAUUAAAAGAUUUAAUUUAUGUUGUCCAUAAGUUGUUCUUACAUCUAUGAUUUUUUCUAUUUUGUGAUAUCAUUUAUUACUAUUCUUUAUCUUUUUCAAAUUCUAUUAAAGACCUCUCAUUUCCCUAUUUUUAAGUCUAACGAUAAUUUUUGUAAUUUUUUAAAUUUAUUAUUAUUAAAAGUGACUUUUAAUCCAUAUCCUUCUAUUCCUUCAUAUUCUUGGAUAUUUAUUUUAUUACUUUCUAUUUCUUCAAUUUCUCUAUUUAGAUCCCGAUCCAUCUUCUGUUUCACUUAUAUAUACUUUUUUAUUAUAAUAUUCUUCAAUAUCUGAUAUUUCACUUAAUUCAUCUUUUAUUUCUAAAUAUUCUUUUUGUAAUAUUCUAACUUUCUUUUUAUCACAAUUAGGAUUUAUAUGACUUAUUUCUCCACAAUUUCAACAUUUACAUUGGCUUUUAUUUUUCUUUUUAUCCUUCUAUUGGUUAUAUGGGUUAUUCUUUCUUUUGUAAUACUUUCUUCUAGGUUUUAUAUAUUUUUUAUUAAAAUUUCUAAAUUUUUUAAAUUUUUUAUUUUUAUAUUUUAUUUUAUUAAUUCUUCUUUCAGGAUUAUAUCUCAUUGCACAGGGGUUUCCAUAUCUUCACAAUAUAUUUUAGUUAAUUUUCCUGAUUUUUUCAUUAAUUGUCUUUGUUGACAUAUAUAUACAAGUCUUUCAAAUAAAUUUUUUAUUCUUGAACCUAAAGUUCUAGGUAUUCCAGUAUUAUCUCAAACAUAUUUUUCAAUUUCUAUUUUAAAAUAUAUUCUCUAUGAACCUGGUAACUUAUUAUAAUACAUGUCUUGAUAUAUUUCUUGAUUUUCAUUACUAUAAAAUUUAACAUAAUAGUAAUUUUUAAAUUCACAAGUAUAUUCUUUAAUUUUACGCAUAUCACAUAUUGUUAAGUUUAUUAAUUUUGUUCUAGCAUUAUCUUUUUCUCUUAUUGAUUCUUUUUCAGCAUUUCUUAUCCAAUUUUCUCCUAAAAAUUCAUCUAAAACAUAUUCUAUUAAUUUUUCUAUACCUUGUCUAUCUGAUUUUAUUAUUUCUGUUUGUACAUUUCUUUUUAUUAAUGUUUUUGUGUCAUUGCUUAUUCCUUCCCACCAAUUUCUAUCAUCUCCUUCAAAGGAUGCUAUUAAGAAAUCUAUUCUUCUUCAGUACUUUCCCAUGUGUUAUCUUUAUUAUAUAAAAAGAAUAAUAUCAUUGAAUCUGCCCAAGUUAAUAAGGCUUUUUUAGUAUCUAUUUUGAAAUUUAAAUCUAGUUUUGUUCCUCCAUGAUUAAUUGGUUUAUCAUAAUUAUCAUUUAAUUCAAACCCAUCUUUAUAUUUAUUUCCUUUAGGUUGUUGUCUAUCUAUUAUCUUAUCAUAGAAUUGUCUAUAUGGUUUAUUAUAUAUAGGUGCAUAGCUUUCAUCUGUAUCAGAUAAUUAUUGUUUAGAGAUUCCUGCUGGAUUAUGUCCUCCUCCAGUAUUCAUUAAAACUUGGUAUUCAUUUAUAUCAGUUAAGUUUAAUUGAUCAAAAUUUUCUAUUAGCAAAUCUAAUUCUUCACUCAUCUUCUUUUUCUUCUACUUUUAAUUUUCCUAAUAAUUUUUCUCUAGAUUCUUCUUCCUCUUCUAGUAUUUUUGGUAAUAUAUUAUUUCUAAAUUCAUCAUCCAUACUCCCUGUUUCUAUUACUAUAUUUUCUUUUUCCAUAUGUUUCUUUCCUAUUCGGGUCAUCUCUUUUUCUAUAAGUUUUUUUUUUAUCUAUUUUCUUAUUUUUAUUCUUACUAUUUUCUUUUAAUUAUCUAAUUUCAAUAUUUAAUAUAUUUAUAUCGUUUCUUGUUUCUUUUACUUCAUUUCUCAAAUCUUGUACAUCAUUUAUUAACAUUUUUAUUAAUGAUUUUAAAUUUUCUAUAUAUUCACUUAUUGACAUCUUAAUUUUUUCUUAUUUCUAACUCAUAAGUUAAUUUGCAUCUUUUAUCUUUUUUCUUAUCAAUUAUUUUUCCAAAUCUUCUUUCAGUUAUAUCUAGAUCUACUAAUUCUUCUUUUACUAUAGUAAAGUAUUUACUCUCAAGUCUUAGUCUUUCACAUUUUAAUUUUGUUAAUUGUCUAUUACUUGGUAUUCUCAUUCCUUCUGGUAUUAACAUUAUAUUACUUAUUUCUUCUUAUAUUUUAUCCAUUUUUAAAAGUAAUUUAUUCAAUUUUUGACGUGUAUUAUCAAUUGUACUCAUAUUUUUCUUUAUAAUCACUUAAAUCAAAUAAAAAUAUUAAUCAAAUAAAAAUUAUCAGAUUUCAACUAAUAUUUAAUUUUAAGGACUAAAAUAGAAAAUUUCUAUAUUAUGAUGCCCUGUUAAGUAAUAUCCAAAUGGAGGGCAUUUUUGGUAUGUAAAUUGCCUAAGGGUCAUUUUGGAAAAGUAACACUUUUGAAAAGGUUAUUUCCAUAUAUUUCCCCAUUUUACCCAAGUUUACUAUCGUGGAAAGUAGAAAUUACACCACAUAUUAAAAUUUUCAAUUCAAAAAUCAGGUUUAAAAAGUUUUUUAUUAAAAAAAGAAGAAGUGAUAAUUUAACUUUUAAAUAUUAAUUUUAUUAUUAUAAAAUUAAAUUAAUCUACCAACCCCUGUCCAUCCCUAUUUCACUCGUAGAGUCUAAAUCAUUCUCCUCUCUCUCCUUUCUCUUUCUAUCCUCUAUUUUCCUUUUCUUUCUCUUUAUCAUUACAUGGAAGAUCACCAUGAAAGAUCACUUGUGAGCGUCGCUGUGUGCAACUCUGAUGAUUUUUGGGAUGACAUCUAUUGACCUCGAUAUUUGGACCCUCAACGUGGCCAACGGGUAGUUACUCCACGUAAUCCUCUCUGCGCACAACAACACACGGCUAGAAACACACGGUCGGGACUAGCGGUGGUGGUGGCGAUCGCGGCCGCAUACACUCGGACGAUCAAGUCAGCGUUAAGUGAUCGGAAUAGUGCUCUAGCAGUGCAAGAGAGUGGGGAGGAGAAUAUAUGUUUCUCAGUAUGGAGAGCUAAGUUAUAAGAACUUUCGUACUUUGUCUCUUGCCAAACCUUAGAUAUUUAUAGGUGUAGAGCACCGUUGGAUGUGGGACACGUGUAUGCAUCUGACGGUGUGAGACGUCUGCUCAUAGGCGCCACUCAGCUGCGUCUAGCAUAGGCGGGCAAUUAGGUCUUCUAAGUUGAGUUGACAUAAAGUUGAUGUAUCAUGUCAACUAGAUGUAUGGAGAUGUCACGUCAAGAUCCUGAUAGAUAUCUUUCUGACAGGGGCGGAGGAGGGAUCUGUUAAGGGAGUACAUCGGGCCCUUCAACGCUUCGACGUUGAGGGACACUUCGAUUGCUUCAUUGGAUCUAUUCACCUUACAGCGCGUCAUGUUAAGGUUGUCAGGAAUUGGCAUCUCUCCGGAACCACUUCAGGUAGGCGCGUGGUGCUUCAAAGAGUGAUGUGACCUCGUGUCGAAGUGGUUUUAGUACCGAAGUUUAAGUGGCUUGGUUAGGGACGUAACAGUGGUCCCUCCAAGUUCAGGUAUGAAUAUUCAUAUCAUGGGUGAACUUGUUUUCCCGACUGUGUAUGCCAGCCUUGGAGUAAGGACUGUGGAUUCUGAUGAGGUACUGGCAUAAAAGGGUGAAGUGAGCAGAUGUACCGAACACAUGUUGGUUGAGGCGAGUGAUAACUGAGGUGAUGUGGGUGGGGCGUCCUCUGGGUUGCGCCGACGCUUGCAAAGUUAGGUGAAGAGCUCAUCUACCACUGGUACGCUGAUCCACAUGGGACGACGCGUUGGGAGAUGGCUAACGAGUUUCAAAGCUGAGGAGUCGUGUGACAGAGGUGGUGAUCCACAGAGGACUCUGCGUUAGUAGCACCGAGGCUUUUGAGGCUAGAUGAAGGGCUCAUCUACCGACGGUGCGCUAACCAAUAGGGGACGACGCGUUGUGAGAUUGCUAAUGCCUUUCAAAGCUGAGGAAUCAUGUGAUCGAGACAGUGACCCACAGGGGAUUCCGCAUCAGUUGUGCCGAAGCUUUUAAAGCUGGGGAGUGCAUUCAUCCGAGGUGAAUUGGGAAGGAUUAUCUCUGAUUUAAAGUGCCUUAUGAUGACGCUAAUCGAUGUGAUUGCUAUCAUGUAUUUUCAAGGCCACGGUUGGAUGUGAUGCCCAUCCCCAGGAAAGGGCUGCUGCAAUUACUUAUUGCUGACAGCUAUUGCUUGUUCGAGACGACGCGUUUUAUGCGUGCGUGAGGGGCACUGUAAGAUCUUGGGCAUUGAUCAAAUUCGACAUUUCAUUUCAACGAUCCAGAUUUGUGACGAGAUGAACGGUCUAGAUGGAUAUCAUUUGAAUUCAAAGGUGGGGAUCAUCUGGGGUUUCCUAUAAAAGGAGACUUAGUGCCAGUCGGACGUUUUCACCUUUGCAAACUCAGAAUCAGUAUUGCUCUCAGAUUUUUUGGCGAUUUCCGAUAAGUUUCGAGCGUUUUUCGGUGAUAUUCUCUGUUUUCGACGAGUACAAAGGGUCAUCUGUUAUUUUUCGACCGUAGAAAACCCCAACCCAUUCGUUUCAGUAAGUAUUUUUCCAGUUCUUCGCGUUAUUUUUGAAUUCUAGUGGCUUCUAAGAGUAGUAACGCUUUGGGGAGGGAGCUCGACGUAGUUCGGGUGGAUGAGCCUAUAUUAACGACGUCCAGUGAGGUAACUGAGGCCAUAAUAAAGGGGAGAAACAUCUAGCGGAGGCCUGAUAGCCCAGUAGAUAUGUCAGAACAUUGGGGGGCUUCUGACUACCCAUCGAAGUUAAGAGAGCCCAACCUGGGUAGACUUAGAGCAGAGUAUAGAAUCCCUGAUAGCAUAGACCUUAUAUUGUCGGAGCUCGAUGAGUGAGCCUGUUACCCUAGGCCGGGGUGUGUAGCUGUGAACGAAGCUCUCUUUAGGGCUGGACUUUGGUUGCCUAUCCACCCUUUCUUCCGGUGUGUCCUUAGGUUAUACGGGUUAGCUUCGUCCCAAUUAAAUUCGAACUCCUGGAGCCAGAUGGUGGGCUCAUGGAUGUUGUGGAAGGAGGUGUCUCUUGGGGAGGAGAUGCCUUUUUCGGUUUUCCAGACCCUCAACCCCCAAAGUGGUGGCCGGGGAGAUAAGACUAGGGGGUAGUAGUACUUAACCUCUUGGCGAGCCCACACUCCAUUUGUCCUAGACCUGCCAAGCUCAAUAAAGGAUUGGAAGACGUCAUGGGGCUGGGCCUUUGGAAGGUGGGACACGAUGGAGGGGGACCCCCUGGCACCCCUCACAAUUCCAACUAAGUAUUCAUCGCUUAAUGAGUGUUGACGCCCCGUGUUUGAAUUUCUUUCGAGCUUCUGUUCGGUUCCUGACCUGUGUUUGUUGUUUGCAGGCACUCUUCCUCGGUGUGAGAUAUCCACUGAGGCGUUUGACAUAAUUUGCAUUGUUUAUCAACUCCCACUGAAGAGGAGAUCCUAUCACGAGCUGAUCAAGAAAAACAGGCACUUUGUUGCGCACGAACUGAUGGCCUCCCAAGGUAACUAUCUGGAAUGCACCUAUUGUAAUUUGUUUUCGAACUUAUUGUACUUGUGCCAAUCUAGUUUGUUUUACUAUAGACGAUUUUAACAAGAAGAGGUCGGUGAGGCCCGACUUCAAGACUAUCCAGUGGAUGAUGGCUGAGGCAAGGGCCCUGAAGACCUCCUCCUUUGCUUAUAAGAAGGAAACGAAGAACCUAGUGGCUGCGAGCUAGCAGCUCCAACCUGCAGCAGAGGAGGAGGAGGAGGAUCCAGAGGAAGCUCUCUAGAGAAAGGGGAAGAGAGCUGCCAGUUCGUCGAAGGGGCCCACAGUGGCGAGGGUUGUCCUGAUCCUUCGUCAAACAACAAUUCCCAUCGGGAUGGCUAUAAAGGAUAGAACGGCGGCCCCUACUGCCACUGCUGCUGUCCCGACCGUCCCUGGUUGUUGUCAUCCCCAUCACACAAGUGCCGGGGCGGAAGAGAAGGAAGAGGGCUCGUUGCCCUGGUCCAUAACAAGUAUUGGACUGAGAAGUGGAAAGACCACACGGCAUCCUGUACUGUCGAAGACCUGGUGGCUGCCAACAGUGCUUGCAUCGCCUGGGCUCUGAGCACGAGCGUUCAACUUUAGACCUUGGUCAAAGACCUCGACGCUAGGAGGGAGGAUCUGGCUAAACACCUGGAGGAGGCGAUGCACUAUAGGAAUGCGGUGCGAGCCGCCGAGGCAAAGGCGAAGGAGGCGGAGGGCCAGUAGGCAAGGUCCAAUGUAGAAGUGGAGAUGCUGAAGAAGGAGCUACAUGAAGUGGAGUGCCAGGUGACUGCUAUGAUGAGGAGGAUUGAUCAUGCUAAUGAGCACCACCGGCUCGUCACUGAGGCUCUGGAGGCCACCAAUAAAGAGAAGGCCGAGCUGAGGCAAUGGGCGGAGGCCCUGGCCGAGGAGAUCGAAUCUCUGAAAGCCGAGGUGAAGGCGGCAGGGGAGUCAGCAGAAUUUGAUCGAUCACUUUGAAGAGCAUUCGCUGUACGAUGACUUUGCCAACUUCUGGGCCUCGUGGAACGCCCAGGCAAUGUUGGAUCGCCUAAGGGAGAUCCAUCCUACUCUGGAUUUAACUUCUUUGGAAGCGAAGUUCGGUGGGCCUACCGGGGGUUGAUCUGACAAGGUCGUCGAGGAAGCUACUGAAGCCCCUCCAGAGGCCGAGCCGGAGGUCGGGACCGAAGCCCCCCGAGUUGAAUAGGAAUACAUUGUAAUGGCUUCGGCCCUCAUUUUGUAACUUGUUUUGAUAUUAAUGAGAUCAAAGUUUUCCCAUGUUGUUGCUUCUUCUUAAUUUACUUUUACGUCGAACUGUUUCUAUCUUGAUGAGUAAUGGAUAAAUAAACAUUAAGCAUCACUUACCUGAGAUUGACACCUAAAAUCUACUGAAUAACUGAGGCACCAAUUGAUUAACCCAUAUAACAGAGUGGAUGAUUAAAUCGUUACAUUAUAUUUUACUAAGGCAAUUCUAGCACUUAGCAAGAUAGGAAUGUUACAAUAGACUGAAUAAUAUGGAGAUCGGAUCUAAAUAUACACUUCACUGAUAGUAUUUUCUCAAGUGUUCAAUGUUCCACUGAUGAGGCAAUACCUUCCCUGCCAUGUCUUCUAUUUCGUAAGUGCUGGGUCGGGACUCUUUGCGGAUGCGAUAAGGACCUUCCCAGUUCUAUCCAAACACUCCGGACCCAGUCGACUUUGAUGAUUGGAAGACCCUUCUGAGGACGAGGUCCCCCAGACGAAGAGUUCGAUUUCUGACCUUAGAGUUAUAAUAACGGGUCAUUUUUCUUUGAUACUUUGCCAAUUUUAUUUGAGAGGAAGCCCUCCUUUCUUCAAGGAGGUGAAGUUUAGGCACUCGAGCUUCGUCGUUAUCGAUCUCAGUGAAAUGUAUCCAACGAUGGGAGGGGACACCCACCUCGACAGGACUCAUGGUUUCGGAUCCGUAGGUCAUGGAGAAGGGUGUCUCACCUGUUGCAGUUCGACUGGUUGUUCGAAUGGCCCAGAGGACAUGGGAAAGUUCAUCGACCCACACCCCUUUUGAGGCGUCAAACUUCUUUUUCAGGGUAUGCUUGAUAGUUUUGUUCACUGCCUCAACCUGCCCGUUUGCUUGGGGUGAUGAGGUGUUGAGAAAUCCUUCCUUAUGCUGAGUUCAUCACACAAGUCUCACAUCUGUUGUCGAACUGCCUGUCGUUAUUAGAUACUAGAGAGUGAGGAAUGCCGAACCUGCAAAUAAUAUUUUUCCAGACGAACUUUGUGGUGUUCGCUUCAGUGAUUUUUGCUAGAGGUUUAGCUUCCACCCACUUUGUGAAGCAGUCAAUGGCAACAAUGGCAAAAGUAGCGCUUCCUCUUCCUUUUGGUAGUGGGCCAAUGAAGUCUAUGCCCCACUUGGCGAACGGCCACGGGCAGUUGACCAUGGAGAGGCUUUGAGAAGGCUGACUUUGAAUGUUUGAAAAAUGUUGACACUUGUCACAUUUUUGAACAGACUGGUAAGAGUCAUUUUUCAGGGUCAGCUAGAAGUAGCCUUAUCGAAGAACUUUGUGUGCCAAAGCUAUUCCUCCGGAAUUAUUACCGUAGACUCCCUUAUGGAUCUCCCUGAGUAUGUACAUGUCUUCUUCCCCUCCUACGCAUCAGAGAAGUGGCGAGGUGUAGCCCCUUUUGUAGAGCACAUCGUCCUGGAGAACAAAGUGAGCAGCUCUCCUUCUCAAUUUUUUUCUCUCGUUUUUUGAGGCUGGCAGCGAUUGAUCUUUGAGGUAGGCUACGAUGGGUUGCAUCCAAAGUGGGAUGCCUUCAAUCCAUAGUACCUCUUUGCCUCCAGAGAUGGAAGGCUUCAGCAAGCGCUCAAUUGGGACAAUUUUUAGCAACUUCGAAUCCCUGCUGCUGGCCAACUUGGAUAGGGCGUUAGCGUGUGUAUUUUCUAGGCAUGGGACUUGAACCAAUUUGAAUCUCUCGUAGUGAAGGAUGAGAUUCAUAACCAAUUUCAGAUAUGCAGUCAUGCUAGUGUCUUUGGCUGCAAACCUUUUGUUGACCUGACUUACCACAAGUUGUGAAUCGUUGCUUGCUAGGUGCCUUUUCACUUGUAUUUCUUUCGCUAGUCUAAGGCCCACUAGGAAGGCCUCAUAUUCUGCAGCAUUGUUCGAGGCUUUGAAGCCGAACCUGACUAUGCAGUUUUGCUUAUGGCCUUCUGGACUUUCCAAAACAACUCCUGCUCUGGAACCAUUCUCUCCUGAUGAUCCAUCCACAAAUAGGCUCCAUGUUGGGGGCUCAGUUGUUUCCAUUGUCGCUUCCAUUUCUGGGACUUUGACAAACUCUGCCAUGAAAUCUACAAGGGCUUGGCCCUUGAUGGCACUCUAGGGUCGAAAAAGUAGGUCGAACUCGCUGAGCUCGAUUGCCCAUUUUAGCAAAUGGCCCGAAGCGUCUGUUCUUUACAAUACUUGUUUCAAGGAAGAGUUGGUGAGAACUUCAAUUGAAUGGGCCUGGAAGUAUGGCCUCAGUUUCCUCGAUGCUGUAACUAGGGAGAGUGCAAGUUUCUCCAUAUCUGGGUAGCGUGCCUCUGCUGGGAGCAGUGCCUUGCUAAUAUAAUACACCGGUAGUUGAUGCGUGUUUUCCUCUCUGACAAGGACUGCACUGAUAGCCUCGUCUGAGAUUGCUAAGUACAACAGUAGUGGCUCUCGUGGUUGAGGCUUGGAUAAUAGGGGUGUCUCUCCCAGGUGCUUCUUCAGUGCCUGGAAGGCUUCUUCACAUUCGCUUGUCCAUUGAAAUUUCUUUCCUUGCUUCAAGACUUUGAAGAAGGGUAGGCUCUUAUUAGUGCCCCGAAAAUGAAGCGACUGAGUGUGGCUAUUUGACCAUUUAGGCUUUGUACUUCCUUUGGCUUCUAAGGUGACCUCAUUUCUAGUAGGGCCAUUAUCUUUUCCGAAUUCGCCUCGAUUCCUUUUUGGUUCACAAUAUAUCUAGAAACUGACCCGAAGCUACCCAAAGGUGCACUUGAGGGGGUUCAAUUUCAUUUUAUACUUUCUAAGAAUCUGAAAGGUCCGGUCGAGGUGACUUACGUGUUCUUUCGCCUGGAGGCUCUUAACCAGCAUGUCGUCCACGUAGAUUUCCAUAGUUUUGCCAAUGAGUUUGGCAAACAUCAUGUUGACCAACUUCUGAUAUGUGACUCCAGCAUUUUUCAAUCCGAAGGACAUCACCUUAUAGUAGUACAAUCCUCUGUCUGUGAUGAACGAUGUGGAUUCCUCAUCAGGUCGGAACAUGAGUAUUUGGUCAUACCCUGAGUACGCAUCCAUGAAGCUCAAGAGCUCAUACCCAGCAGUGGAGUCCACCAAUUGAUCUAUCCUUGGGAGAGGAAAGAUGUCCUCAGGACAUACCUUGUUCAGAUUUCUGAAGUCUACAUAUACUCUCCUUUUUUUCCCUGGGUUUCUUUAUGAGGACCGGGUUGGAUAUCCACUUCGGGUAGAUAGAUUCCCUGAUAAAGCCGCUGCGGCUGAGUUUAUCGAUUUCUUCUUUGACGUCUCAUAUAGCUCUGAGUUGAGAACUCGUCUUUUCUGCCGAUGUGGGUGCAAGAGAAGUUGAUGUUAACGUGGUGACAACUGAUUCUUGAGUCUAUUCCCACCAUAUCUUCAUGCUUCUAAGCGAAGUCAUCCAGGUUCAUUUUUAGUAAGUUCAUCAUUUCUUCUUUCGUCUCGGGGGUAGUGCUUUUCCUAUCCACACGACCUGAAUGGGGUCUUCAGGGUUGACGAGGAAAGUUUUCUUCUCUUCCAUUGGAGUCGCAUUCGGUUUAGACUCUAUAAUUCGGGGCUCUAACUCAUCAAGAGGGUGUCCUUCUUCAGGAACCUCCAUCAUGUCGACAUCUUUCUCUUGUUCGGAGGUAUGCCCUUGUUCAGGGACGUCAAGCAUUUCAAUGUCCAUGUUCGCUUCGUUGUCGGCCUCUGUUAUAAUGACAUUAACGGUGCGAGGCUCGAAUUUUCGUAGAGAAUUGAGGUAACAUGCCCUUGAGCCCAUUUGGUCGCCUCGCACUGUGGCAAUCCCAUGCUCAAUUGGGAACUUCAUACACAAGUAGUGGAUGGAGGUGACCGCUCAAAGAUCUUUCAAUGCGGGUCGGCCCAAUACUCCAUGGUAAGCUGACCUGUGGUCCACCAGGCAGGGCGGGGUCACGCCCCGUUUACUGCCCCAUAUCUUUUUUUUCUCUCAAAUUCACAAUUUAAAAACGUUAACAGCCAAAUUAAAUACUCUAAACGAACAAUAUCCGAAAAUAAACAAUUACGAAUACAAUUAAAUUGUAACUAAAUUUCACUUCUUUAUCCAAAAUUAAAUUUGUUGUUUUUCCAUCUUUAUAACUUCAUUUUUCGGCAGGUUCAGAGAUUGUAGAAGAUGGAUCCUGAAAAACGAAAUAAAUAUUAUACUCAAUAUCAUCAUAAAUUCAUAAUAACGAUGAUUAAAAUUUAAAUUAUGUAAUAAAUAAAAUUACCUCCUCAUCAACAUCAUCAUCAUUCAUCUUGGAGUAACUUCCAAAAUAUGCAGAUGGCACGAAAUUCGCUAUUAAUAAAAUAAAAUAAUUAGUAAUAAGAAAAUUCAUAAAAGAAACAAUAUAAAAAGCAAAUGUUUCUAUACAUCGUACCGUGAAUAUCGGCCCAUAACCAAUCUUGAGCACACAUUAAAGCCUCCAAAGUUUUGGGGUGAAGUCUAUUUCUGUGUGGACUAACAAAUCUACCACUAGUACUGAAAGCAUAUUCGAAUGCCACAGUAGAUAUCAGGAUGGCCAAAAUAUCAUUUACAAUUUGAGAUAAAGUCGGAUAUUUGAUUGAAUUCACUUUCCACCAUGUCAAUAUAUCAAAAUCAUCCGAUCGAGGCAAUAUAGGCUCAUCCAAAAAAGUAUCAAGCUCGAUUUUCACAAUACUAGGAGCUUCAACAUUUGAAACAAAUUUAUAAAAUUCCGCCAUGCGAUUUGAUUUAUUAUUAGCACUGGACGUCUCGAUUUGACAAGAAGAAGUAGAAGACUGAGCUAAAGACUCACUUGAAUCAUUCUUUUUCUAAUAAUCGUGCACCAACUUGCCACAAACUUGAUAUAUUUUGUCAAUUUCACUUGCAGCAUUGUGAUUAAAAAUACAAGGAUAAUAAAACUUAACUAACAUCAUCUUAUACCUCGGAUCCAACACUGCUGCUAAAGCAAAAAUUCCAUGAAGAUCGCUCCAAUACUUAUUAAAUUUUUUCCAUCAUACUGGUUGCCAUCAUUUGAAAUUCCACAUAAGGAGAUUCAAGCCACUCAUACAACGAUAGUUUGAUUUCACAAUCAUUUGUAAAGAAGAGAUUAGCAGUUGGAUACUUUGUUCCUGAAAAUAAUUCAGUAACCUCAAAAAAAAUCUUUAACUUCUCACAUAUUUCUUUUGCUAAAUCUUAAUCACCAUCACUAAGGAAACAUUUAUAUCGUGACUCCCUCUGUUUCAAACGCGGAAAAACAUCCUUAUAAAUCAAAGCAGUACUAAGCAUCAAAUACGUCGAAUUCCACCUUGUUUUACAAUCAAGCACCAAUUUUUUCUCACAAUCAAUUUUCAACUGACGUGUAAAGAGCUCAAAUUUUUCAGAUCUCUUUGGCGUGGCUGUCCAAUAAGCAACACUAUCACGAAUUUUCUCAACACUACCACUAAUAAUGUCCAACCCAUUCUUCGCAAUAAGAUUUAAUAUAUGUGCACAACACCUCAUAUGAAAAAAUUCACCAUUCAAUACAAGAGGAGUACAAAGUUGAGUUAACACAAUGCUGAUCAUUGCAUCAUUUGUGGUGCAAUUAUCUACUGUCAAAGUUAGUAACUUACGAUCAAUAUUCCAGUCCAUCAAGCUGCUUAAUAGAGUUUCUAAAAUCACAUCAGCAGUGUGUGGGCAUGGCACAUAUAUAAACCUGAGUUCAUUCAAGAACAAAUUAAAUCAACUAAAAGAAUAUCAUUUUGGUAAAUUAUGAGAACAAGUGAAUGUAAUGUUUUACUAUACCUCAUGAUUCAACUCUGUAAUUUCCAUGCAUUAUCUAUGAAAUGAGCAAUGAUAACCAUGAAUCAUCUCUUUUGAUUAGAAGAGGUUCACAAGUCAGUAGUGAUCGAAAUUCUAUUCUCGAUCUUCUCAAGUGCAAUCAUAUUUUUGGCUCUCUCGUAUUCAUAGAUUUUCAAAAUGUCGCUCUUCAAAUUGUUGCGAGAAGGAACCUUAAACAAUGGUUGUAGGUCGUGGAAGAACUCUCGAAAUCCAAUGUGAUUAACCAUAGACAAAGGAUACUCAUACAAAAUCACCAUUUUCGAAAGACUAUAUCUAUACUUAUCUGGAUCGAAAGAGUAAGUACCCAUUGUGACCUUGCCACUCGUAGCAUCCUUUUUGAAAUUUAAUGUUGCUUGGUGAGUAUUAUCCUUAUAACGGAAUACACAUCUCUUCAAAUGAUCAUGUAAAUGCUUUGUACCAUUUUUUGUUUCACCCCCUAACUGUUUCUUGCAAUGAUUGCAUAUAGCCUUCCAUUUCUCACCAAUCUUCUGUCUUUUGUAGUGCUCCCACACAGUUUAAGUCAAUUUCCUCUUUCCAAAUGAUAUUUUUCCAAUAUCACGCUCCUCGUCACUUAGGUUUAUUGUCCUUUCAUCCGCAUUUGGUAACAGUUCAACUGGACCUUCCUGCGGGACAUUGCUCUCCGUUACAUUGGUCGGGUUAUCUUCCUCACGUAUUGGUCCUAAUCCAAUACUUCCAGCACUACUUGAGCCAGACAUCUGUGCAAAUAACAAAUAGUAAUGAGCAUAAUGUCAUGAUUCACAAAUAACCUCAUUUGCUGUCUUUCCUAAACAAGAAUGAUUUUUCAUCUUUCACAAAAAAUAAUUCCUAGGUUUAGAAAAUAUUUAACUUGCCAAGGAUAUCAAUCUUAAAUAAAAUGGACACCUAUGUUUCUUAGUCUUGCAAAGUUAACUUUCUAUUAUAUGUUUAUAGAAGUCUAUCUACUUAAUAUCAGCCAAAGAAGAUGAUGCAGAGUCAAAAGAAAUGGAAACUAAAUACUUUCUUGAGUAUUAGUUUCAAAUGAUUAAUUACUUCUAAUGCUUAUUCUGAAAGUUCCACCACUUUUUCUUCUUCUUAAUCUCACUUGGGGGCAUAUCUGAACAAUAAUAAAAUAUGAUUUAAUCUGAUUAGGAUGGACAUAAAAGCAGAAAACUAAUUAGUUAUUACCCCAGUUCGAAAAUUUAUUGCAGAAUCUCUGAAUUAGCAUAAACUUGUGGGUUUCAUAAAUUAGUGAAUAAGUAAGUUCAGUAUAAUGCACAAUGUCAGGCCAAAAAACCUUGGUUGUAGAAGUUAGGAUAACUUUAAACACAAAUUGCUUGUGGAAAAAUUUCAUUUUGCUCUCCUCUUAUCAUAGUGUCUUUUAGGUCUUCUAAUCAAAUCAAGAUAGAUUAUUACCUCCUUGAGGAUAGAUUGAGUUGUAAUGUACUUUAGCCCAGAAACUCAAAUAUAUGACCGCACAAGAAAAGACAUAAUUGAGGCUACAAAUGAAAUUAUCUGAAACUGUGACAAGGGAGAAAUGAAAUUCAACACAAGCAAACAUGAAGAAGAAACUGGAUUGUGUUUGCAAGGUUGAGAGUGAUGUCUAAACUAGAUAGAGUUCUGUUACUUAAAUACACUAAUUUCCUUUACAAGCUUCAUCCGAACCAUCCCAACCCACAAAAAUAAAAAUAAAGUAAAUGAUAAAUAACUAAAUAACUUACAAUUUGCAAAUAGAAAACACUGGUUCUUACUGACCGGACUGGCAGUGGGAGUGUGCACAGAUUUUGGAGUUUAUUCAAUAUUUGAGUCAUUGACGAAUCAUCAAUGAAGUUCCACACAACAUAUUAUAAAUGUAGCCAUAAAAUCUUAACCAUCAAACAAAUGGCAUGUAAAAUCCCACACCAGCAAACAGCCCACCAAUCAUGUAUCCAAGACGAAAUCUUUAAAGAUCAAUCGAUAGAAUCAUAGAAGAUACCUCUUUUUCUCCCCACCAAAAAUAUAUCUUGUGCACUUGAAAAUACAAGUCGAACGAGGAAAAUGGAAAAGGAAAAAUUAGGGCAAUUGUUUGUGGGGAAAUGAGGAUUGGGGAAGUGGGGAUUUCUGACUGCGGUUCAUUUAGCUCUAUCUGCAGUUCAUUAGGGCAAGUGUUUGUGUAAUACCCUUUUUUUUAUGGGGCGGGUUUUUUUCGCCCCGUUCAGGGCGAGGACCCGAUGGGUCGGGGCAAAUUGCCAUCACUAUGUGAAGUGGUGGGCCAAUAGGGAUUGACCCCAUCUUGACAGGUAGAGUUGUUCGCCCUCGUGGGAUGAUGCUGUCGCCAGUAAAUUCAAACGGCAGGUCAGUCAUGGGGAUCAACUCAUGUUCAAUCUAUAUUUUAUCAAAGGUGGAUCCGAACCGUAUAUUCACCGAGCUGCCAUUGUCGACGAGCAUGCGUUUGAGUUCAUUUCUAGCCACUACGGCUUUUACCACUAACGCAUCACAAUAAAGGUGGUGAACUCCUUGUGCAUCUUCUUGAGAAAAAGUGAUUGGGGCCAUCCUGUUGGCCUCUUGAGUCUGGUUGACGAUGUAAGUAAUCAUUGGUGGAUCCUUCACUUCACUUGUGUAAUUCCUCUGGGCGUUCCUGGUGUUGCCCUCGAUGUGAGGUCCUCCAAUGAUUAUGUCAAUUUCCCUGAUAACUUGGCCUCCAGAUGGGGCCUGGUCCCUAUGCUUGGGUUCUCCUCUAUCUCUGGAUUCUCUUCUCCGGGGUAAUUGGUCUUUAUAUCGCCUUUCUUCUUUAUUCGGAGAGGUGGACCUGUGGGUGCAUUAACCCCUUCUUGAGGAACACAGAUUACUCCUGUUCGAGGAUCGAGGAGCAUCCCUACAUUCGCUGGUGUCGUGUCCGUAAAGUUGGUGAAAGGUGCAGAACCUUGUCCUUUCCAGGGGCCUGUUUGAUCGCUUCUUCUUCUUUCGAUUGUUUGUUCCUCCGGAUGGUCUUGCUUCAGCAAGAGCAUUUUCGUAUGCUAGCACUGGCACUGCAUUUAGCGUGGCAGAAGCCAGCGCUUGUCCGGACGUGGGAGCUAUUGUGUGUCCUGCUUAGGUUCAUUGCUGAGUGAUGAGGUGGGCUGCUGGUCCUAGACCUACCUGUCUCUAAGGCGAAGGGAGUCCCUACGCUGCACGAUUUUGGUGGUCAAUCAUCUCUUCAUUGACGAUCUCGACCCUCAUCAUUUCUACCAGUUCGACAUAGGUGGUGGGAUUAUUACUGCAUACAUCCCUCCAGAACAGUGUGUUCAUAUUGAGGUCACCUUUCAAGGCUGAAAGGGCCUCCCUGUUAGUGAUUUGCUCACAGUACGUGAUUUUAUCGGUGAAUUUGGUGAGAUAGCUUUUCAGCGUCUCGUCAGGAGCUUGCCUCAUAUCUUGCAGGCGUUGUACUAGGGCCUCCCCUUCCCUUUGUGAGAGGUACUGGUUCAGAAAUGCAUUAUUCAAGCCCGGCCAACUUCUGAUGCUCAGGGAUGGUAUUCUGCUGUACCACACUUCAGUACCUCCGGUGAAGGUUAGAUGGAAGGCUCUACAUUUCAGUGCCGGCGAGGCUCAUCUGCGUCAUGUAUUUAGUUAGGUGUUUAUGUGGGUCCUCCUUUCCUUCGUACUUCGGUAUUUUAGGGGGCAUGAAGUUUGCAAGCAUUGGGAAGCUUCAAAUUUCUCUGGAGAAGGGGAGGUUGUCAUCGUCAUCAAUUUCGUAGGAGCGGCAUGACCCUUCAAAGCCUUCCCCUUCUGAUGCGUUUUGGGGAGGUGGGGGUGCCUUUUCCUAACUACUCCAAUCCACUAAAUUUCUCCUCUCGCGCCUAGAAAAUAGGCGGAGGAGGUAUUUGUCCUUGUUCCUACUCUUGUUGAAUUGAUCUUUGCACGCCCCUAUUGCUAGGGUUCUGCCCUAUUCUGUCGUAGACACUGACAGACCUUUAGGACUCGUAUUUUGGUGCGAAGUUCUCUCCUAACGGUAGUUCUGCCGGUUGGCUCCCCCGUGCGUAUGAUGUGAAGUCAACACCCACUUCUCUUUCAAGGGUGUGUUCUCGGCGCUGACUUAAAUGACCUCGGCCAUGAGGCGCAUGGAUUUCUUGGGUUGGAUAUGGCUCUUGUUGCAUCUGGAAACCUUGAUGACCUCGAGCCUGCAUGAAGAAUUCACUCAUUGCCACAUUCUGAGCAGCAAUGUCCCUCAUUCCAGCAGUUAUUUGAGUCAUUACUUCAGUGAGCGCUGCUGUCCUGUUGCCUCGGUGACGCCGGUGAUGGGGUCUCCGAUGCGUGACAUUGGUCCUGAUUACCUCUUCUUCAGAGGCAUCUCCGUGCCCUUCAAAAUUUGCAUCUUCAUUACUAUAACUCAUCUUGUCCACUCCUUUUUCAAGGGUGUUUAGAGAUGUGAUCGUAGAUUGACUAUUCUUUUCUCAAGAAUGUGCCCUUUUUAGGGUUAGUCAAUGGUUUGUCGGUGGCUUUUUUUGAUGGAAAAUGUGGUACUUUUGGACGAAAAGUUUCCCAUAGACGGUGCCAAUCUGUUGACCUCGAUAUUUGGACCCUCCACGUGGCCAACGGGUAGCUACUCCACAUAAUCCUCCUUGCGCACAACAACGCAUGGUCAGAAGCACACGAUCGGGACCAGUAGUGGUGGUAGCGGCUGUAUACACUCCGACGGUCAAGUCAGCGUUGGGUGAUGGAACAAUGCUCUAGUGGUGCAAGAGAGUGGGGAGAAGAAUAUAUGUUUCUUAGUAUGGAGAGCUAAGUUAUAAGAACUUUCAUUACCUCUGUCUUUUGCCAAACCUUAGACAUUUAUAGGUAUAGGGCACCGUUGGAUGUGGGACACGUGUAUGCAUCUGACGGUGUGAGGCAUCUGCUCAUAGGCGUCUAGCAUGGGCGGGCAAUUAGUUCUUCUAAGUUAAGUUAACAUAAAGUUGAUGUGUCAUGUCAACUAGAUGUAUGGAGACGUCACGACAAGAUCCCGAAAGAUAUCUUUCUGAUAGUGGCGGCAGAGGGAUCUGUUAAGGGAGUGCCUCGGGCCCUUCAACGCUUCGGUGUUGAGAGACACUUCAGUUGCUUCAUUGGAUCUAUUCACCUUGCAGCGCGUCAUGUUGAGGUCGUCAAGAAUUGGCAUCGCUUCGGAACCACUUCAGGUGGGUGCGAGGCGCUUCGUAGAGUGAUGUGACCUUAUGUCGAAGUGGUUUUAGUGCUGAAGUGGAAGUGGCUUGGUUAUGGGCGUAACAACUUUUUUCUCCUCUAAUAUGUUGCUUAGUCGGAGUUUUGAGAUGAUUUAUUUUGGUGGUGGUGAUAUUGGCUACAACGAUGAUAGGGACUGGCGAUGGUGAUGGCGUUGGAAAUGGUCCCAAAUGGUGGUAGUGGUGCAAUGUUUGAUUGGUGUCAUAGUGAUUUUAGGUUGGGCUAUGGUAGGAUCGAGGUUGGGUUGGGUAGAGAUAAAGAGUGUUUGUGACCAACUGUUUGGAUGAUUAUGACCUAUAAAUAGGUUAAUUUGUAAUCAAUAAAUAAUGUGCGAUUUAUAAAAAUUGACCAUUUGUAUAAAUAUGAGAUUGCAACUAAAUUUGUAAUCCUGACUCGCAAUAUGUUAAGUUGUGAUCAAUUAAUUUGGAAUCUGUAAUUGUGAAAUAAGUUGUAACUUAUAAAAUUUGCAAUUUGCGAUAGAGAUGUAAUAAGUGACCUAUUAAUUUGAAAAUUUGUAAUCGAUAAAUAAAUUGUGACUUAUAAAAUUUGUGAUUCGUUACAGAAAAAUGAUGUUUUGACUAAUUAAUUUAAUAAUUUGUCGAUAAAUAAGUUGUGAUUUAUAAAAUUUGUAAUCUGUAAGUGUGACAAUCUGUGAUUGUGACCAUAAAUUGUAUAAUAUUGUGACUUUUAUAUAUUUAAUUAAUAAAAUAUUUUAAUUAUCUAUUUUAUUGAUAAAAUCUAAUUAUGAUUUGAAUUGUAUCUUUUCACGAGUAAACUAACUCAUAAAGUUCACGGAAAAAGCCAUGAGUACAAGAAAUUCUAGGUAGAAUUCUUACCGACAUUGACAUCGCAGGAGAUGAUUGGAAUAUUUUGUUUUCUCUUUCCAUUUUCCAAUCAAUUCCCGCAACGUGUUGCCUAUCAAAGUUUGUUGUUACAAUUUUUUGUAUUUAUAGCAUGAUUGAAAAGCUCACUAUAGCAAGCUAUUAACGAGCUCGCUAGUCUAGCCUACGGAGCCAGAGCACAAGAAUCUUUAAGCUCAACGCGUGUCCAUGUUCAAGUGGGAGUCCGUGCCCAUUAACAUCCUACUAUCUUAUAGAUACCGCGAACUUAGUUGUUAAAGAGUCAAGAUUUAUUUUAAAAACCAUUACAUCGUAAGUUUGAGUAAUAUAAAAAAUAAAAGAAAAUUAAAAUAGAAAAAUUAAAAUAAAACAAAACGAACACAAGCAUGUUUAGGUAUCUUAAACUUUAAUGUAAGCGAUUCUCGUCUUUAUUAUUCAAUUGGAACUUGCGCAAGGAAAGACCGGGGCGAGUAUUGUGGAGUAAAGAAGGGUGGGAAAAAGCUGCUUGUAUCAGUGAGGAAGUGGGGACUAUAAACAGUUGGUUUGGGCCGGAUUGGUGGCUGGUGAUGGUGGGCGACAUAGAUUAUUGUUUCGAUGAUUAGGGAUGUAAAGCACACAGUUUUCAUAAUUGAAGGGUCUACGUUGUCACGGACCUAAUUUCAUUACACCCGAUCAAACGUGCUACAAAUAAAAGGUUGGAACCCCAUUAUCUCAAUGAGAAAAGAUUGGGACCCUACUUCAAACACACCAGAAAACGCGUCUUCCACGCCACAGUUCUCUCCCAGUCAAUGCCCAAAAACAAGUAGACUCAGGCACAUUUCAAUAAUACCAUCCAACCAUUCAUAAACUGCCUGGCUACAAACCUGCGUACCUUAUAAUUCACAAAAUCCUCAACUUAUUUCCCAUUGUUUUCUUGUGUAUUUUUUUAUUGUGUUCUCCUAAUCUCUCUCUCUUCCCCACAAACAAGAGAGAGAAAAACUAAAAUAACACUCUCUUCCCUCUCCAUUUUAUUUUUCAAUAGAAAUUUUGAUGAUAAUAUUAUUACUAUUGCAUCCACAAAGGGUACGUAUCUGAAAAAUUAUAAAAACCUUUUCUGUCCCAUGUUAUCUGAUUAUAACAUAGUUUCUUUGUUUUUAUUAAUGUUUUUGCAGAGAGGAUCAAGAAAAUAUUGACUUGGACGAAAGGAUAUUUUUUUAUAACAUUCAAAAUAGAUUGGAAGUGAUCACUAGUUGGUAGAAUAUUAAAUUUAUUAAAAUUAAAAAGGGAAAAUCGAUUAGAAGAUAAAAUGAAUUCUCCUAUUUCCCCUGCAAGUGGAAAAUCGCCAGCAGCAAAAUCUCUGAUGGAUCAGAUGUUGGGACUUCUCAGAGUUCGGAUUAAGAGAGGAGUAAAUCUCGCCGUUCGUGAUGUCGUUACAAGCGAUCCUUACGUUGUUGUCAAAAUGGGUAAACAGGUCUGUCCAUGCAUCCUUUGUUUAAUGUUGUUUGAAAUAGGCGUAGCAGUCACAACCCAAUACCGCGAGAAAUUGGCAGAGGGGGAGGUUCCACUCAAAUAUGGUGACAGAAUAUAAUGAUUUUGUGAUUAUAAUAUUCUCUAACUUGUAAUGAAGAGUCCACUAUAUAUAGGAUGCAUGUCAAACUUUAACAAAAAGUAUCAAAAAAUCCGGGGGAAUAAAGAAAACAAAUCUAGGUAGGAUGAAAUUGCCGCUCGAGUGACGGCCUCGCAGGAAGCGAGCACCACAUGUCGCUUGCUGCAGACGCGGUGCUCAGGCGCUGCGUGGGCCAUGCUCAAGUGCAUUGUUUCUGUAACCUUUUGCACCAGAGAGCUCAAGCGGGGCUAGCUAGCGCCUAUAUAUAUAUAUAUAUAUAUAUAUCGUGUGCGUGUGUGUGUGUGUGUUUUUUUUUUGGGAAAUUUAAAUAGUCGUAAUCUUCGUUAGAUUAUCACAUAACGCUCGUGGAGAUAUUAAUCUUGGAGUUGGUUGAUUUCUUAAGUGUGUGGGGGUUAAGUUAUAGAAAGAAUUAUAAAACUAGAGUCUUUUGAACUUGUAUAGCCGUGUUUAAAAUUAACUUCAAAAUUACUGUUUUUGAAUACAUGUCAUAGUCAAACAAGAUCUAAAUUCUGGCAAACGAACAUUUCAUAAUGAUGAUUGACCUUUAUUUUAGCUAAUAUAUUUAUUGGGUUCGAAUAUUGAAUUUUAAAAGUUAUGAAAGAUAUGAGAUUAUUGAGAUUUAAUACUCCUUUAAGUAGGUCAAGUCUUGCCUCAUUGUCAUACUCUUGGAGUUUGUCUCUUUGAGGUAGUGGUUCGAAUGAGAAAAAUCAACGACUUACCAUUUGAUGCAAGAGAAUCAUAAAAAUUUAUUAUUGUUUCUCUUCAUCAAUAAAGUGGCGUUUCUUGAUGAAGAGGCGCCUCUCAAAUUUGUAUUUGAAGUAGUAACUCUUCAAGAUGGAUGCUCAAAACGCCAUUGCAAUAAAAUACAGAGGUUUGAGCUACUUGGUUCGUCAUUGGAAUUUAUGGUUGAAAAUGAAAGUUUGACAAUUAUAAAUUUUGACAAAUCGAAGCGUUAACAGGUUACUUGUGCGUUUUAUUUCAAUAUUUUCUACUCGAAUUUUCGGAACGAUAUAUGUUGACAUUCUAUGCAGAAGUUGAAGACUCGUGUUAUUAAGAAGGAUAUCAAUCCUGUAUGGAAUGAAGAUUUGACACUUUCUGUUGCCGAUCCAAAUAUUCCAAUCAAGCUGGUGAGAUCCACUUUCUGAUUACCAUGAGCAUAUUCUGUUAAAACUAUUUGCAUACACAACUAUAGUACUGUAAAUGAAUAUAUAGUAGAAUGGUCCAAAUGACAUAAUGUGUUGAUAUUUCUGAUAGUACGAAGUUGUCCCUUCCUGUGUAUGAUUUCAGACAGUGUACGAUCACGACACAUUCAGCAUGGAUGACAAAAUGGGAGAUGCAGAGUUCGAUAUUAAACCAUUCAUGGAAGCAUUGAGGAUCAAACUAGAUGGCCUCCCAAGUGGUACAGUAAUUACAAGAGACCAACCGUGCAGAUCAAAUUGCCUGUCCGAAGAGAGUUGUGUGAUCUGGAAGGACGGUAAGGUGAUACAAGACAUGAUUUUGCGACUGAGAAAUGUUGAAAGUGGCGAGGUCGAACUCCAACUUCAAUGGAUCGACCUUCCAGGAGCGAAAGGUCUUUAGAGCGCGACAGUAUUGUGCACGUAACUUAUGAUCCCAGUUUUAGUUUCGAAUACUGAGUGAUAAUUUGAAGAAUCUACCUUCUUUUUCUCUGCCUAUCUAUGCAAGAUGUGUAGAUUGGCAUAUGUUUUUUUGUGAUUACAACAAUAAAGCGAAUGAUCCUUGUAUUUCAUUUCAGUGUUUGAACCCUCAGAAGAUAUACUACUGAGGUUUCAAAAUGCCCAACUGAUAAUUUGCUGUAUAAUAUAUAAUAACUACAUAUUGCGUUCAAAAUGAAAAGAGAAGUUAUGAGAAACUUUUAACACUUUGAUUCAUAUCUUUACUUGGACACUAGUGUGAGAUAAUCGAAAAAGACACAACUCUACUGGCUAAAUUCUCAAUAGUUGAGAUCUCUUUUCAUCAUUAGCACUCAAGUUAUUGCAAGAUUUAUUGGCAUAUCUCUUUAAGAAUUUGUUCUAUCAAAAUCAUGUCAAUUUUAUAAUCAAUAGGGUUUCUUUACGUUGAUUCAAAAUAUGACGCAACCGCAUAAUCUAAGUUGUUCUUUCUAUUCAAUUAGUUCUAAUUUUGCUUCACGAAUAUUCUCACUUUUCACCAUGUGCACUUUAGUAGAACCGCAUAUUCACUCAACAUCCUCAAGAAUUAUUCUAGGGGUACAUAACCCCUUACAUAAUAGGCGCCCGUCCAAUAGGGGGCGUCGAGUAUCCAUUUUGAUCACCCUUAUGUCCCCCUUUAUGUGCGCAUAGAAUAACCCCAUCCUCAUUAGGACAUUUGUCAUUUAUAGCCUUGCAAAACUGUAAAAUAUAAGUCUAAGACAAUUAUAUUCAUACCACAAUUUUUAUUAGUUGCACCACAUUUCAAUUUCAUUCUCUGCGGAUUAAAGUGCUCAUGUCUUUGAAUGCUAUCUAUAGUCCAGUUUCAUAAAUUUCCAAUGUUCAAAUUACAUCCCUUAUUACAUAGAUCGGCAAAAUAAUUCCAAUGGCAAGAGAGAAAAAUGAAGUUAGAUAAUUCUAUUUAUCUGAAAAAAAAAAAAAAAAACAAUAUAGCCAGGGGUUUCAAUUAGUUGUGCCAAAAAAUUUGUACAUUUGAAGGUUAAACUUUUCUAGACUUUGCGACAUGUACAUCAAAUUUUAUAUAAUGGAUCACAUAAUGCCACACGUCACUCCAUCAUUUGCCAGUUCAAAACUCAGUCAUCUUUUUCAUCCAAAUUUAUCUCUCCACAUCAUUUUAUGUAAUCUUUUAUGCACAAUUUUUAUGUACAAGUAAUAUAAUCCAACUUUUCUUGUUUUACAUGAUUAUAAAAAGAAUAAUAAUAAGGAAAAGGGAUCCUAAUAAUUCUUUUCAUUUUAUAUCAAAGUACACGCAAUUUUUAGACAAAAAAUAUUAUUAAGUGAAGAAGCAGAAUUUUAAAAAGAUUGGGUAUAAGAAAGGGACAAAAGUUUUUAUUGAAGUAAUGAAAUGCAUGCCCUUUUAUACUCUUUGAAACCCUAAUCAAUUCCAUUGCUAUUUGUGCAGUGUAAACAUAGUGUUUGGAGAUUUACAACUCCAAGGGAACCAUGACGAUAAUACGCCAAUCUUUGACUCACGUGUCUUGCACAUGCAGAAUUUAUCUAACAAGACUAAGGGGCAAGGGCAUCACAACACUUCUAGGCUGGGGACAUUUCCGACUUAAAAAAUAGGUUUAGGUCUGUCGAUUUGAACUGACGUUACAAUUUUCCUUAAUAAAAAUCAUAACUUACAUUCGUGUCUCAAUUCUAUAGCUAUUUGUGCAAUUUGAACGUUGUGUUCGAAAGUUGACAACUUUAAAAGAAUCCGAUAUGUAAUCACCAUGUCAUGUAUUUGUUACUUUAACAGAAAAAUCGAUAGAAUGUAUCUACUGAGAUUAAGAGCAUAUGAAUUGCUAUUUUUAUAAAUUAUAUCUACGAUUGUCUACGUGUCAUUUGCCUACCCAUUAAAACCAUAACCGUUUAUAUCGCAAUUCUAUUUUUAAUUGUAUAGUUUAAGCAUUUUGUUUGGACGCUUGUUACUCGAAGGAACAUAUGAAUCUGACACGCCAAUCUUUGCCUCGUAUUGAUUCUAUGCAUUAAUUGCAACUUUAAUCAUUAAUUUCAACGCAUGCUUGUGUGGAAUUUUUAAUUGUCACUUUUAAUUAAUGAUAAUUGUUCACCAUAUAAGCACGGGUGACAUGACAGACUAUUUAAUUGGUGAAUCAUUAAAUACACGAUAUUUAAUUGGUGAAUAAGUUAAUGAUAGAUCUUAUGUAUUUAAAGAUUCACCAAUUAAAUUGUAUGUUAUGUCAUCAGAUAUAUAUAUAUGAAGAUUAUCUUCCUCCAAUGUGCCAUUUUUUAGCCGCCAAUCGGGCUUUUUCAUGUUCUUUGGUACUUGAAAAAUAAUUAACAAAAUUAUCUUACUUAAAGUAUUCAUUGAAACAAGAAGAGUUGAUGGUGAUACGUUGGAAUUAGAAUUAGAUAAGAAUGAAGAAAAGUGAUAUUUAAAAUAAAAUUUAUUGUUAUCGAGUAGUAAUAUUUUUAAACGAAGACUUUUCAUGUGUCAAAACACAAUCGGAUUUAUACAUUAAAUUGAACAAAAUUUAUCUACAUUUUUUUAUCAGUUCAUUGUAUCAAAUUAUAAAGGGUGAAAUUUACAUCUUUAAAUAUAAAAAUAAUAGUCAAUAUAUAAGAUUUUGUACUUGAAAGAGAAAGAACCUCAAGAUCUAUUAUAGAAUUAGGGUCUAUUUGGCACGGCUUUUGAAAAAUAAAAAGUUGCUUUUGAAAUUAAUAAAUUUUUUUUUGAAUAUGUUAGAAUAAUUUCCCGAAAAUAUUUUGUCUGACUAGAAGAACUUUUAGAAGAAGUUGGCUCAAGAUAAUUUCCUCAGAAAACUUUAUUACAAUAAGCAAAAACAAAAGAUAAUUUUUGCCAAACAAUGUCCUAUAGCAUCACAACUUGAAUGGCUCGCAUAACCAUGUAUGAGAAACUGUUUAAAUUGGAUAAAUAGUUUGUACUUGUGAGUCAUAAAAAAUGCAUGGAUACAAAUUGGUGUACUCAAAUGAUUAUAAACAUGCUAAGGAAAAAUUACAUAUCCCUUAAUCAAUAUAUAAAAGUCAACUUAUUUUUCUUACAUAUUAAUAUUUUUUACUAGAAUCCUAGCUACCAACAUGCCAUAGAUAAAAUCAUAUCAUUACUUGUUACUGAGGAUCUGCAUGCUUUGAUGUACAAAUUAAACAGGUGUAUGAUACACGAUUAAUCAAAUUGUUUCAAGACUACAAUCGUCAUAAUUUCUACUUUAUUUUCCACUUGGAAUUGUCUUUGGUAGUUAAUAACACAGGAGGAUUCGUACGAUUUUCUCUAAAUUAUAUCUGAAAAUAUUUAAUUCAUGUUUUUCCAUAUAUAUAUUUAUUCAUCAACUUAUAAUUUUGUUAUAAAUUUUAUAUUGCCAAAAAAUUACUCAUGAGGAAUAUUAAUAUAUCAAGCAACUAAGAAAUAACACAAUAAUGAAUAUUAUUCCCACCUAGUUUUCAGUGAAAUUAGGUUUGAUGUAUGUAAUAGAUCUUAUUCAGUGAUACAGUAAAUUGGCUUGCAAAUUAGGCCUUGUUUGGUAGGGAUUUUUUGUCUCAAAAAAUUGAUUUUUUGACCGUUAUUUUAUUAUUCAAACCGUAAUUUUUGACUUCUUCUCUUACAUGUGGACCCCACUUUUCUUCUAACGGUCAAAAAAUCAAUUUUCAAAAUCCCUAUCAAACGGACCCUUAUUGUCUUUAAAAAGUACUUUUAGAAUCUAUUAUAUAUAUAUAUGAAAUUAUGUUAUAAACUGAGAAUAUUCUCGCAAAGUGUUUGUUGAACUGUAUUUUAGUAAAUAAAAAAAAAAUCAGCAAAUUUUAAUUCUAAUAAUUUUUUAAAUAUUGUAACACAAUAGUUUGAUAAUUAUUUAUGGAACAUUAUUGAUUUUAUAUUGAAAUAUUUGAAAUUUUAUUUUUGGUUUUGUAGAGCAUUGCAAUGAUGAGGGAAAAUAAAUAAAUAAAUAAACAACGCGGGUGAAGGUAAUGCAAAAGGAAAAGCAAAAAGUGAGAAAUAGAUAAAAGUUAGGUAAAACUUUACUAUUCGUUCUUCAAAUUUUUACCCUCAUAAUAAUUUAGUUUCAAACUUUAAAAAGAAGCAAUUUUAUCCAAAAAAGUCUACAUGUACAUAAUUAUUGCACAUAAUUGUGUCCAUAAUGCGAUGUGGCAAUCAUCCGAUUAAUGAUGUUCAAGUUUGAGAUUUGAAUUAAAGGUUGAAUCCAGUACCACGUGUAAUUAUGAAUACCAUCAUGUAAACAAUUAUAUACGUGUAUGUAACACUUCCCAUUUUAUCCCCACCUUUUACUGAAGUUGUAUAAUAAGUUAUUACUAGCGAAAAUUGCCUAAAAUUUUGUUAAAUUUUAUUAGAUGUAAACGUGCUUCAUUAAAAAUUUUCAACGACGAGUCUAACUUGAAAAGUAAACUCUAACUCUGUAAAAUUCAACAUACUAGCUACAUGUGAAAUUUUUAUUUCAUUGUUUGAUACUAAUCGUGUCAAUAAAAUAAUUUAUAAGAACAAAUUUGUUAAUUUUUUUUUUUAGAGAUUAGAGACCAACUUACUUUUAGGACCAAGUGCAUCUCUGAAAAAUUUGUCAUGUAAGUGAAAUAGAUAAUGUUUUAAAAAAAAUUCAUUUCAAAAAAGAAAAAAAAUGAGCAUUUUCUAGUGUUAAUCUCGAUGCCAGAAGCUAUGAUGCAGACUCAACGAAAAUUAUGUGACAUGCAAUUUAUAAUUUUAUGCAUAUUGUUAAAUUUAAGAAAAUAAAAGAUAGAUAAUAUUAUUGAUGUGUCGUAUAAAUGUCAAUGCAAAUCAAUUUUGAGUUUGAAUGUCUAUUCAUUAAACAUCAAUAUAUCGAAAGUUUUUCAAUUAACAUUUUACCUAAAUAACUAUAUAUAAAAUGCAUUGUAAACAUGUCACUAGAAUAUAAAAUGCACCGAUUGCAAUCAAGAUACCUAUUUAUGUUCAAGUCAUUAAAUAGCUCCUAAAUUUAGGGAUUUAUUAUACAAACAAUUGGAUUAUUAAAUAACACCUGCGUGUAUUUGUAGGUAUAAUUCCAAAAUCCUUUUUUCAUUAUUUUGAAAUUUCUAUUUCCAAUCACUUCAUAUUACUAAAUAGUGAAAAUUCAUGUUUGGCAAUUUAUAGUCUUACGUUAAUUUAUUCAUUUAUUUAUUUAUUUUUCGAAAUGUAAGGCAAUACUUAGUAAGACGUUGUGUGGAUAUUAUAUAACUCGUAAUGUUUUAACAUUUUUAAAUAUACUAUUGAUAAGUGCACAAUAUAAUGUUUAUUUUCAUAUUAUUAUAUAUUCUAUACCCCUAAAUUUAGGAGCUAUUUACGAGGGUGUUCUCAACUAAAAUUUUAAUGAAUUUUAGAAGAUUAUAAAUUCUAAUGAAUUUUGUGGAUUUGAAUAGAUUCUUACAAAUUCCAUAAAAAUCUCAUCAAAUAUGGUGAAAUUAAAAAAAAAAUGCUUAUACGUAGUUUUAAACUUGAAAUCCAUCAAAUCUUUUAAAAUCCUUCUAUUAAUGAAAUAUUUAUAAAUCCAUUAGCUAUUGAGAUACCUAAAUUUUAAGGGAUUUCAUUAAAAUCUCAAUUGGGGAUACAUAAAUUUUAAUGAAUUUUAUUAAAAUUCAAUAAAAUUUCAAUUAAAGAUAUCUAAAUUUAGAAUGACUUUUAAAAUUCAUCAUAAUCUCAAUUGAGGACACUCUCCUUAGUGACUUGGAGAUAAAUAUGUUUCUCGAUUGCAAUAGGUUACCUAUAUUUAUGUAAUUGGGUUAUUUAGUAAUUUUGAAAAUUUAUGUUACUAGAUUUAGUAUUCUAGGAAUUAAAAAAAAAAUGUGUUAGUAUUUUUGGAAUUAUCUUUCUAUAUUGGAUUAUACGUUGUUGCAAUGCGCUGUGAGGCGUUCGAUGCUCCUCUAAUGUUGGACCCAGUCGAUGCACCUCUGGCUUGACACUAUCGUCGGCCGUAUCCACUGCACGCGACGAAGCAACGUCCAAGGGCUCAGUGGUGCUCGCUAUACCCACUCGGCCAUCUCACCCCCAACCAUCACACUUACUCAACAUCCAUGGGCUUAGCUGAUCUGAAAUUUCCUUCGAUCCGUUGCUGUGGAGGUUCUUGUUGCGUUGCAAUCCCCGGCAAAAGCUUCUUUGGUGAUUUUGCGGUGAUUUUCUGUGGUUUUGUGGUGAUUUUGCUGCAUUUUUUGUUAUAGUUUUUGAGGGUGGUAGUGUGCUGUGGUGGCGGCAACGGGUUUAUGGAUUUUUUUGGUGGUGUCUUGUCGGUGGUGGUGUGGUGUAGCUGGAGAUAGAGGAGGUGGUGGUGGUGUGCUGUGAGUGCUUUGUGCAGUGGUGCUGUGGCGAUUUUUCGAGUGUUGUGGUGGUGGUAAUUGUGGGAGACAGUGGUAUAGAUACAGUGGUGCUCAUGGUGGUGUUGGGGGUGCAAUGAUUUUCUGAUCUGUUGUUCUUUGGUGGUGAUGGUGAGUUGUGACUUGAUAUUGAUUUGGUCAUAGAUAGUCACUCUGAAUAUAAUUUUGAUCACAGUUAGUCACAUCGAAGGUAAAAUUGAUCACAAUUAAUCACAUGUAUGUGGUAUGUAUUUAUUGUGAUUGUUUGUGACCAAUUUUGUAUUGAAUGUGAUCAGUUGCGACCAAUUUUGUAUUGAUUGUGAUCAGUUGUGACUUAAGAUUGGCUUAGUCACAGAUAGCACACUAAAUACAAAUUUGGUCACAAUUAGUCACAUAUGACACAGGUAUGGUCAUAGAUGUCACAGGUGCAAAUCUAAUAACUUACAACGCACCAUUGCUACCACCACAGUUUUUGGAGAUUUUUUCAACAGUGUGGUGUAGAGAAAGAAAUUGUUUUAAAAUUUUGGAGAUUUCUCUAUUGGCGAGUCGGAGCAGUGCCUGGAAUAGUUAUUGGGGUAGGCGUCGGAGUGGUCAUUGGAGCAGUUUGCUGGAGUGGUCGUCGAAGCAGUUUGCUGGGGUGAUCGUCGGAAUAGUUGCCGGAGCGGCCACUGAAGUGAUCGUUGGAGCCUUUGUUAGAGUGGUCGUCGGAGAUGAUAGCCAUCUCUGGUGGAGUGGUGGAGGAAAUGUGGUGUAAUGGGGUGAUAGGAUGAGGUAGAUGGCAUGGAUGGAAAUAAUUAAUGAAUAUUAAAUUAUAAUUUAAUAUUUAAUAAAUUCAUUUACCACCUGAUUUUUGAAAUAUUUGAUUGAGUUUGUUAUUUAUAAAAUGUGAUCUUUAAAACUAUGAAUUAUUUGGUCUUUCCAUAAAAUUGGGUAAGACGUGUAAUUUUCACUAAGAAUAAUGAUCCAUACAAUACAAGCCCAUCAACAGCCCACGAGCGAAAAAGCGAAUCCAAGAAAGUUUAUGCAAAAAGAAUCCAUCGCCUUAAAAAGGUCUCCAAACAAUUACUCCAUAACUCUUUACCUCAUACCAUAUUGCUUUUCCCUUAACUUUAGACAAACCAGUCAUCCAUGGAAGAAUGAGCCAUUUACCAAAUUCCAGCAAUUUAUUUCUAAUUAUAAGUAAAAACUCUCUCUCUAAUUCUUUCAAAUCCAAACAGAGCUGAAAACAAAGCCCACUCACGCCACUCCUACCUCUUUGCUUCGGGGACUGCAAGUGCAAGUUUGCUCGCGACUCUCAAAGCAGCAUUCUGUAUCUGUAUAGCCAAAAAAUAUAUACUAUUUCUGCCUUUCUGAAUAUGCAUACAACUCAACCACUCACAACCCCAUAAACCAAUACGUAUGUUCUUUUCCUCCUCCAUUUCCUUAUACAUAUCAAUCUUCAGAACCUUUUUCUUUUGUUCAAAUUUCAUUAGGUUUUGAUCAGCUAAUUUUGUUUGUUUUAUCCUUUGUCUAUCUGGGCAGCUCGAGAAAUCAGAAAAAAUGAUAACCUUAUCAGAUUUCUAUCAUGUAAUGACUGCAGUGGUUCCACUGUAUGUAGCUAUGAUAUUAGCCUACGGUUCUGUCAAGUGGUGGAAGAUUUUCACUCCAGAUCAAUGUUCAGGAAUCAACCGUUUUGUUGCACUUUUUGCAGUCCCUCUUCUUUCGUUUCAUUUCAUUGCAAUGAACAAUCCUUAUGAAAUGAACUUUAGGUUCAUUGCUGCAGACACACUCCAAAAACUCAUUGUUCUUGCAGUUUUAGCUGUAUGGGCUAAUGUUAGCAAAAGGGGUUGUUUGGAAUGGACUAUUACACUUUUUUCCCUAUCCACUUUGCCAAACACUCUUGUUAUGGGUAUCCCUCUGUUGAAGGGAAUGUAUGGGGAGGAUUCCGGGAGUUUAAUGGUUCAAAUAGUUGUACUUCAGUGCAUUAUUUGGUAUACUUUGAUGCUCUUCAUGUUUGAAUACAGAGGUGCAAAAUUGCUUAUAUCUGAGCAGUUCCCAGAUACUGCUGGCUCAAUAGUCUCAAUCCAUGUUGAUUCUGAUAUCAUGUCAUUGGAUGGUAGGCAGCCUUUGGAGACUGAGGCAGAAGUUAAAGAAGAUGGGAAGCUUCAUGUUACUGUACGAAAAUCAAAUGCAUCAAGAUCAGAUAUUUUCCCAAGAAGAUCAGUGGGCUAUUCAUCAAACACUCCAAGACCAUCAAAUUUAACCAAUGCAGAAAUUUACUCUUUGCAAUCUUCAAGAAACCCAACUCCAAGAGGCUCCAGUUUCAAUCAUACAGAUUUUUACUCCAUGAUGGGAGGUGCCCGGAACUCAAACUUUGGUGCAAAUGAUGUUUAUGGACUUCCAUCUUCAAGAGGGCCAACUCCAAGACCUUCAAAUUAUGAGGAGGAAACUGGGAAUAAUGCUAAUAAGUCAAGAUUUUACCAUGGAAAUACACAGUAUCCAGCUCCAAACCCAGGUAUGUUUUCGCCUAACAACGGGUCAAAACCCGUUGGAGCAAAUGGAGGCAAGAAACCUAAUGGACAGCAAGAAGGUGGUAAGGAUCUUCAUAUGUUUGUUUGGAGCUCAAGUGCCUCUCCAGUUUCAGAUGUUUUUGGUGGCCAUGAUUAUGGAGCAUUAGACCAAAUUACUAAUGCUAAAGAAGUUAGAGUUCCUGUAUCUCCUGGCAAAGGUAGAAUCCUUAUUGGGUUUUCUUGCUUCCAAUGCCAAUUUUUAUUUUUUAAUAAUCGGCUCGUAUUUUUUAUUUUCAGUUGAGGGUCAAAGAGAUUAUAGUCAAGAAGAAUACUUGGGGAGAGAUGAAUUCAGCUUUGGAAAUAGGGAUGUUAACAAUCCUGAAGGUGGUAAAUCUGGAGAUAGCAACAAAGUGAAAGUCAUGCCCCCCACAAGUGUAAUGACAAGGCUAAUUCUGAUUAUGGUCUGGAGGAAACUCAUCAGAAAUCCCAAUACUUAUUCAAGUUUAAUUGGCCUCACAUGGUCCCUCAUUUCAUUCAGGUCCAUCCCAUUACCACAUUUUUUUACAAAUCUCGACUUUUUUUUUUUAACAAUUUAAGUUUUUAGACGAGUUUUAAUGAAGAUUUUCUUGGCUAAUGGUCUUGUGGGAUGUUCUUAAUUUUUGUUUGCAGGUGGCAUGUUGAAAUGCCUGCUAUAAUAGCAAAGUCCAUUUCUAUACUGUCUGAUGCAGGACUUGGCAUGGCCAUGUUUAGUCUUGGUGAGUACUCCAUUAAAAACAUUCUCUGUUUAAUAUAAUCAUUAAAUCUAACUUUAGAUUAUUAAAUUGGUGUCAAAUAAAAGAGCAUGCUAAAAGCAAAGGAAACCAACAGUAUGGUCAUCAUAACAUGUUUCUUUCUUUAUUCAUCUUUCCUUCUGUCAAUGGUAUUUAUGUGUACAAAUAUAUGCAUGAACACAGGUAAAAAUGAGAUAGUUGCACAACUGAUCCUCUCCUUAUUGCAAUUGCAUAAUCAAUCUCUCUAGUAACCAAAACCUUUCAAAUUUCUUCUAAAUUGUCAUAUGACCAUCACAUGCCCAACUUAAGAAAUAAGAUUUCGUUUUCUAAAAUUGGACAAUUCCUUAGAAAUUUUGAAGUAGGACAUUUUUUCCUAUUGUCACAUAACAAUUUAACGAAGCUUAAGCCCAUUUAGUGACUUAAAGAUUAAGCCCCCGUCUGAUUCAUAUUUUUUGGCCACAAAAAUAAAAAAUGUGACCGUUAUUCAUCAUAUCAUGUCACCAUAUUUCACUUUCUAUCUCUUAUGUGAAUCCCGUAACGACUAUAUUUUUCAUUCUCAUUCUUUCAAAAAUGAAAAACAAACGGGGCCUAAGUACAUGAUUGAUAAAACUUAAAUUGUAAUUUAAGUCGUUCAAACAUACUUUUUAUUCAUACGUUGAUUCAGCUACAAAAUUAAAAUAUAAGUCAAAAUCAACAAUUAAAUUAAACACACAUUUCAUGGGAUUCUAAUUUUUCAAUCAUACAUUCCUUCAACUAUUAUCAAAAAUUUACUGAAAAUAUGUUUUUUUUAUCUAAAUCAAACAGUUUAUCAAUUUGCUCAGAGAUGAUGAAGGGGAACUAAGCCUCGGUUUGUGUGUUUUUAUUAUUCUCCUUCAAUUUUACAUUUGUAAAAUCUAUAAGUACUAUUUAUUUAUCAAUUAUUCGUUAGUUUUUCUUAAAAAGUAAUAUUUAAGACAAGAAAAUAAAAACGCAGAAGUAGGCUAAAAGUGGGGGUGAUAAUGAAAGAUGUUUGAAAAUGUCUGGUGUGGUGGUGACUGACAGAAAGGGAUGUGUUGGGUGGACGAUUUCAUUAUUAGCGAUGAUGAAAAUUGACAUGACAGGUCUUUUCAUGGCAUUGCAACCGAGGAUCAUAGCAUGUGGAAACUCCGUAGCAGCUUUUUCCAUGGCCGUUAGAUUCCUUACUGGUCCAGCUGUUAUGGCUGCUGCUUCCAUUGCUGUUGGCCUCCGUGGCGUUCUCCUGCGCAUAGCCAUUGUUCAGGUUUCAUUCCUUUCAAAAAAUUCAUAGCACUUUUCCAAACAUGUUUUUAACAUGUCUAUUGUUCUUUGACGUGCCAAACAAAUAAACAGGCAGCUCUACCGCAAGGAAUUGUCCCCUUCGUCUUUGCCAAGGAGUACAAUGUGCACCCGGACAUUCUUAGUACUGGGUAAGUUAAUUUUAAGAAUAAACUUGUUAACUCUCAUUUUUCGUGUUAAAUGUGUGACACAUCGAUUUUAAUAACAGGGUUAUAUUUGGAAUGUUAGUUGCUUUGCCGAUAACACUCGUCUACUAUAUUUUGUUGGGACUAUGAGAAGGGCAGUAGAAGAUUAGAGCAUCAAACAUAUGAAGUUGGGAUCGCCAAACAAAGAGAAGAAACGGAAUUCAUUGGCCCCUUUCUGUUAAUUUGUCUUCUCUGUCUAGUAAUAUUGUAAAAUCUAUUUGGUACUUUGUAGUGAAUUUUCAGAAAAGAAAUAUGAUAUUCGCUAUUCAAGAAUCCCACUCGAUUAUUUUGGAGACAAUAUGUUGGUGCUGCUCAGGCAAGCAUGCAUCACAUCGCUAUUCAAGAAUCCCACUCGAAUCCAACCGAUUGAAAAUAUGGUCACCAUUCAAUAGGCAUGCGUUUGUCAGUAAUUUAUUCUGCAAAAACUUUCCUUUGCUCCACGAUUGUUUUUAUGAAAAACUAGCUAGAUGCCUAUCCAUUCUGCACCCUAUCCAGAUAAAAGUCUUGUUACGUGGGCUACAUUGUAUUGCAUAAAACUAGAUACAAUAAAUGGCAAUUUUUUUUUAUCACUUUUUUAAUUAUUCGAAUCUUGACAAUUUUUGAGGGCAUUCUUAAUUCUAGCACUGCCUUAUACAAUUCUCGCUACUGAACUCACACAUGGUUACAUUUUAGUAAUUUGAACUUGAAACGGAUUGUAAUCGUUGGUUAUAUCAAAAUUGAAAUUCUACUUGAUGUAUGGUUAUCAAAAAUUGGGAUUUUAACUACCACUACAAAAGUAUAUCAUGUGAGAAAUGGAAAUUUUUGCUGGUAAUCGAGUAUGUCGACAAUUUUAUUUAAUUGUUGAUGUUUUUGUUGGUAAUUGAGUCAAAUACCUCGCACUACAUAGACGACUAACUUUCAUUCAUAUAUCUACGCAUCAAUUUUAUAGAUAAUUUAUCGAUAACAUUGCAAACAUUAGUUAGGCACAGAUGGUAGCCAUUCAAAAUCAAAAUAAUAAAAAUAAUAGUAACUUACAAAAAAAAUACCAAUCAAAUGUACAAAAUAUUUAUUCGAUCAUGAGGAGGGUGACAUGAUUGAACUAGAAGAUAGUGGCAUCAUUUCUUGAGCGGGAUAUGACGAUUUGGACUUUGACGAUAGAACGUGCUCUUGCAACCAACAAGAUAGUGGCAUCAUUUCUUGUGCGGAAUAUGUCGAAUUGGACUUGAUGGUGACCCUCCAACUCGUACAUAGAAAGGGAUCCCAUAUACAAGGGCGGAGUUUGGAGACAGCACUCUAUUUCACACUGAUAACUCGACUUGAAUUGUCCUUGACGAAAGUCUUAAAGUCUUGAGUUAUCCUUUAUUUAAGUCUCUAGUUAUAUAUAAGAAGCAAAUGACUUAUGUACUAAUUACAUACAUGAAUCAUCAGGAGAGAAGUAUUACUUAUCACCAAUGACUUAUUUUUUCAAAAAAAUUCUCGAAAACACUCUCUAUUUAUUUACUCACCAACAAUCUACAUUACAAACCGAGCCAAAGAAAUGUGCAAAAAGGGGAAGAAGGCAGACAGGGACAUUAUUGUCAUUUACUAGAUGAGUGCAUGUUUAGAGAGAUUUGAACUAUAAUACAUUCGUUGGGUCGGCCGUUUAGGAGACAGAUGUUUGUGGGUUCAUCUUCAUCAUGUCGUGUCGUUAUUUGGUCCCUCACACGCGCACAUGCACACAAACUCCGCACAUUUCUUUAGGCGUGGCACGUGCAUCUUCACAUUCCUACAAUUCCUUAUUCGAAUAUUUAUCUACGAAAAAAAGAAUAGAAAUCUCUAUAAAUGCCCUUUUUCUUUUUGGGAUAUACGCUGAUAACCCAAAUAAUUCCGUACUAAUUAUACGUAGCAGUAGGAAUAGUAUUAAAGAAUAAGAACAAGUUGAAAUGAUUUGUUCGUUGCAAUCUAUAUAACAUUCGUAUGAAUUGAUCAAAGUAGCUUAAGUAUUAUAAUUUUUUGCUUGAAUUAUAUGGGAUGAAAGUUCGAGACUUUGGUUCGACUUUCGGCAAAUGCCACUUCAAAAGUAAGGAAUAUCAGUUUCAAUUUGAUCGUGUCAAUUUAUAACAAGUUUACGCACAUGAGAAUGAAAUGUGAUUGAUUAAUAACCUAUGUAGAAAUAUGAGAAUAAAAUGCUUUUCACCAAUUGGUAUUUGCAAUGUCACAUUUAUGGAAAAAGAAAACGAAAGCCUUUCAACAAUCACAUGAUACACAAAGCUAAUAUUAACUUUUAUUACAUAGCCAAAUGGUCCAACUCCAACUUUAUUAUACAAAAAGUUCAAUAAUUCAUCCCCAUUCAAUUACAUAAACCACAAUGAGGACAUUAAGAAUUCCCAAAAUAUAUCAUUUUUUGUGAGCAAUGAACAAACCCCACCUCUGCUCACCAGAGGAACUUCUAAUCAGCUUAGACUUCCAACCUCCAACUAUUUCAUUAUAGUCUUCCUGUAAAUAACACAUUACAAGAAAAUCAUAAAUUUGAGAAAAAUGGAACAAUAUUAGAAAUAACUGUUGCAUAAUAGACAAUUAUGAAGCACUAACUUCAGAGAAAUCCUGGAUGAAUGCUGCCUUAUCCUUCUCCAAGGUAGCUAAUUCCUUCUCAAGAACUUUUAUGAACUGAAAUACGAGAAAAUGCAAUACAUAGGUGGAACUAGUAUGUAAAAGAAGUUAGUGUUAGAAUUCAUUAUCUAAAAACUUAAACUUUUAGACAAAAUGGUUCAGCACGGUACUAGAAAGUACCGAGUUCUAGUCUUGCCACUACUCAUUAGUGAAAAUUUUUUGCACGUAUCAUAAAUUUGAGGGGUGCGUUGAAGACUAAAGUUAAAUGAAUAAACACGUCUCCUCUUAAAAGUUUAUGCUUUUAAUUGUGGUGAUUCAAUAGUUAGUCAUCAAGAACCUGAUCAGUUCGAUCCUCAGCAAUGACUUCAUCAAAUCCAGCAUCCCUAAGCAUCUACAGUUGCCCAAAGAAAUAAGAUUGAUUAGGUACAACGAAAAUACUGGGGAGGAGAGUGUUUGGAGUUAAUUUAUAUGAAAGUAUACCUGGCCAUAAGUUUGGAUGUCAUGUAGAUCAUAUCCCCUCUGUUUAAUAUACAGUUCAAAGUCUAUUGAGGGAGAUUUAGAGCUUUUACAGUAAUCACUUAUAAGGACUCUGCCUCCAGGCUUCAGCCACUUGUAGAAGGAUUUAAAUAAAGCAGGUUUGUCCUUAAAACAACAAAAAAGGAGAAGAAAAGAAAGCGACAUGUUUGAGUAUUGUAACAAAAAAUCGAAGCAAUUAAGUGAGACAUUUAAAACUAAUUGAAAGAAGCCGAAAACUACUUGUAUGUGAAGAAUAGUGUCGCGACUAUAGAUAACGUCAAAUGUGGCAUCAGGAUAUGUUUUCUUUGUGCAGUCAGCAACCUCAAAUUCGACAGCACAUUUGAGACCAAUAGCACGUUCAAGUGCGAAGGAAAUCAUAUUGAUGGAGAGAUCGAUGCCAACAACAUGAACACCAUACUCUUCAGCCAUGUAGAAGUCACCACCUCCAAUACCACUCCCUACAUCUAGGACUUUUUGCCCCGGUUUGAGAUCCAAUUUAGUGACGAAUUCUCUCGUAGUAUCUGGGAAAACAAAAUGCAGAUCAAAAUAAAAAAUCCGCAAAGAAUAAGAAUCAUCCCCUACCAUUACAGAUACAUGUACAUGUAUGCUCUUAUUGUGGUUGACUAAAUUUCAAUAAAUAAAUAGUCCGGUCUCCAACAGGUGGUUCAACAUGGUAGCAGGACUGACAUGUAUAUACAUUUUCUUCUACACAAUCCAUAAAAAUAAUGAUGCAAGAUAACGUUCAUUCAUGUGGCAUACCAAUCCCUCCAGUGCUCACAAACCCUCGUCCAAAGACGCGUUCAUAGCGUAAAAUGCCUUUACUUUUAUACUGGACAGUAUCCAGGAACCGCUGGAAUCCCCUGUCAUCCUCUGAACUAACUUUCUGCCAUAUCCAGCAAAUCUGCACUACCAAACAGAGUAAAUGCAUGGUAUGGUUUCUCAAAUCAGUGAUAACUAAAGAUGGUAACAAAUGUGAAAAGAAUCCAGCAAAAUGUUACCUGAUUCUGGAUCUUUUUGUUCGUUACAUAAGCUCCAAUGCAUUUGCAACUAACAAGGGCUAGUUCAUAUGAACUUCCAGAACUGUCGUAGACUUGACUUUCUUUGAAGACCUAAAGUUCAAUACAAGAGAAAAGGAAAGUUAAGCUAAAGCAAAAGAUUUUGCAUACUGCAAGAAUUAAUAAUUAUAAGAAACUGGCAGACAGGUGAUGUUUCCUACAAUAACUCUCAGUCAAUUUUUAAAUACACGUAUGCAAUAAUUACGCUGAAAUUGGUAAAUAUAAGCUAUCUUUUUUAAUAUGGACUGCUUAUUUGUUAUAGAACAAAGUUGGCAAAAAAAUGAAUGAAGUCUGUUUCAGUAGAGGUCAACAAAAUUUCCUAACAAUCCCGUGGACUUUCCACCACUAAGUGACAGUAACACCAAGUUCCACUUGUUCAUUAUUCUGCAUUUCCUAACAAAUUGAUUUCAGGUAAAAAAAUUGACAAAGAAUUGUCAUGGUUAGGUAUAUAGCUCGGUGAAAAUUAAUAUACAGAACAUGACACAUUCAAGACAGAGUUAAUAUCAUUCAGAUAUGUCUGCUCAAGAAGCAUUAAAGUUGUGCCCAAAAAAAAUGAUGAAUAGAUAGAAACCUUUGUAUAGAAUCUGGGCUCACGGUAAUGGGUCGGAUUAUUCUUUCGCUUGUGGUCUCCAGAUUGAUGGAAACAUGACUCCCUAAAAAAUAUAUAGCCACCAACUUUUAGCCAUUUGAUCAUUCUCUCUACAAGACUUUCCACCUGCAGGCAGAAGAAAAGGUCAACAUUAACUUAACAGGAGAACAACAUAAUUUGAUCUUCCAAUGGAAACACUGAACAGCAAACUAAUCCUUAAUCCCAAUAAAUUUAGAAUCACUGGCUACUUGAAUCUAUCUUAGCUGGUUCAUUGUUAGAUCUACUGGCUAUAGAAAAACAGUAGUCUUGAUAACUACACUACGUCUUAUGUAUUGGAGUCUCUCUCCUACUUUUGACAUGUUCUACCGAGAUUGCCUCACUCUUACGAAGGAGAGCGUCUUUAGAUCCACACAAAACUUUUUCAACCAAGUAUGUCAUCCUUAACUUAUACUCUGUCAACACUAAUUCUACUUGUUGAAAUAUAUUCUCGUGUUAUUAUCCAUUUUAACACAACCACGUGUCUAUCUUAAUGUCCUCAUUUCCACUAUGUUCACCUUAUGGAUACUUAGCUUCCAUUUAACAAAUUUAUAAAGAGGAAUGGUAGUGAUGCCAAGAAAUGUUUGAAUAAUAAUGAGCAGUAGUGAUGAAUGUGAUUGAAACUGAUGUUUGACUUUGUCAAACUAUUUAUAAAUUUGUUGGUCAAAUGAAGGCCAGUUAACAGCCUAACUCUCAAAUUAAUUAUGCAUACUUCGAUUCGUGUUAUGCCUAACAAUUGAGCAAGCUGAUUCUAUGCAAAAUGGGGAAGCAUCGGUUACGAUUAAAAAGAAAGGGAAAGAUAACCUCUGUGUCAGAAAGAUACAUCAGUAGCCAAUUUGAAAAUAUCAAGUCCACUGAUUCUUCUGAAAAUUUCAAGUCUGGCGAUGCCACAUCAGCACACAUGAACUUGACAUUUUUAUAAUGUCCAUUCAUACUUUGGUUCUGCAUAUCAGGAACUUCCAUUCAAUAUAAGAACUAAAAGAUGCAAUCUCAAAAGUGGAUAGUUCUACAAACCUUGUUUAUUACACUUUCAAUGAAGUCCAGAGCUACAAGUUGGCUAGCCCUUUUAGCUAAUUCACCAGUGAAACGGCCAAUACCAGCUCCCAGUUCCAGAACUGAUUUCCCUUCAUAUGGUGGGAGCAGAGAGAUGACCUGGUGGAUUAUAGUUGCAAGUAAAUUACUUAUAUUUAAAGUAAUUCAGUAUAGUGUGUUAAUUAGUGGUAACUUUUGUUUACUUCAAAGUAAGGAAAAGUUAUUCUAUUCAAACAAUUUGGAAAGAAAAAAUUGUAAAAGAUAAAUGAAACGUGCUCUAAAUAACUCAACUGAAAGUAGAAGAGAGAACAAAGCAUAAGAUGAAACUAAGAUCAGAAAAGAAAACGAAAUACAUGUAACAAAUCUUGAUGAGAAAAAAGGUUAUUAAACGUCAUUUCAUAUCAUUAACAGGCACCUCAUAUCAGUAUGCAGCAAUUAACUGAAAUGGACCCAAUAAACUAAAGAGUCCAGAAGUAAACCAAUCAGUCAAAAAUGAGAAUAUUCACUGAAAUGGACCCAAAGUAAAGAAAAAAAUUGAAAUAGGAAACCUUGCAAAUAAUGAUUUAAACUUGUUUUGAUGUGAAACCAUAUCACAAUCAAAAAAAGAGCUGGUUCUGAUGUAAUCCAUGUCAGUAAAAUCCAAAACCAAAGACAAAAUUUAACUGAAAAGGGGACAGUAACGUGUCAUUAUGCAAAUGUUGAAAGAAAGAAUUGAUAAUGAAAGAAAACUCAUAUUAUGAAAGGUAAAAUAAUUCAACCUACAAACUAAAAACAAGCGAUAAAGAAAACCAAAAAGUCCGUUAGUUUAUGAGAAAUAUACCUCAGGUCUCUCUUCUUUGUCAAUAUCAGAGGCUUUUGAGUCGAGCAUCAUAGCCUCCACAGAAAGGUCUGCGGAAUGCUUGAUCCAGUAAUUCUUCUGAAGCUCACGUUCUUCUUCUGCACAUAACAAAUCAUCAUUAAAACAUGCAAUGAAAACAGUAAAAAGAUGGAACAAAAAAAUAUUAGACCUUGAAUGGCAGCCAUUGUAAAAUUAAAAAUCCUCAACAGCAAUGCGAGAUCCAGAAAACGUCCUCGAUCUUCGAUUAUGGGCUCCUCCUCUUUGUUGCAUUAGAGCUUAUAGAAGUGCAUGGUAUUUAUAGAAAGAGAAAGGGCAAUAAUGCAUUAUCAGAGACACAAGAAAGAGAAGGAAUCCAUUUUUGCUCAUGGCAUUAACAGCAGCACGUCCGAAGAAGAGAAGUACUACAUUGCAUAAUAGAAACAAGAGGUGGGGCCGCGGUAAGGCGGUGCAGGCUGCACGAAUCUGAUUAGUACCAAUGGGCCAAUGCCACGUUAAACAGUUAAAUUUUCAGUAGAUUUUGAUAGAUAUUAGAGUGAGUUUGAUCACGAGUAUGGAAUUUUUACGGAAAGAAAAUAAAUUUUUAGACAAUUGAAUUACUUAAAACUUAUGUAUAUGAAAAUUAUUAAUUAAAUGUGUUUGAUUGAUUUAGCUUUCAACCUAGAAAAUAUUAUAUUUGUUCAUUUACUGGUGGGUAGAUGAGAGAGGAUAUUAUUCGGAAAAUAAAAUGCUACUUUUCCUAAAAAAAAUAUUUUCCUUGAUUUUGAUAAAAAUAUGGUCACAUGACCAAAAGUAAAAAAAUAUUUUCCAUGAAAAAACGUCAAUCAAACGAUACAAAAGUAGAAAUUUUGGUGGAAAACACAUUUUGAGAAAAAAUAUUAACAAUCAAAUACAUCCUUAAUGAAAUGUAUCAUCGAAAAAUUAAUAAGAUAUGGAUCAUAAGAAAUGUGUAAUUAAAAUUAAUUAUUAACUUUAACUUAAUUUUUUAUAAUUUUUUUUUUUUUUUUUUUUUUUUUUUUUUUUUUUUUUUUUUUUUUAAAAAAAAAAAAAGGGGGGGUUUUUUUUUUUUUUUUUUUUUUUUUUUUUUUUUGGUUAGAUAGACAAAAUAAGAAGGGGUGUAAUUUUUGUUUUUCUUUUGUGUUGGAAAUGUUGCAGCGUCUGUCCCUAUUGUAUAAAUUUUGUUGUGUGGAUUUCAUAUCGUCCAAAUGAAGACUUUUGGUCUUUAGUCUUUCAUUGUUGUUGCAUCUUUCUCAUCAUAAAACUUGGUUACUAGCCAUAUUCAAUGGUUAACGAGUAAUGUUUGAAUUACAUAAUGGACACUAUAAUAAUGUCCAUAAUAUUCAAGUGGCGCCGGUCCCACAUGCGCCCCCCAAUAAAGGGGCGCCACUUGGACAUUAUGAACACUAUUAUGGUGUCCACUGUGUUCAAAAAGAAUAAUCCAUGGUUAACGCCCCCGAAGUACCACUAUUUAGGUUUCAUUUUCUUUUACUUAAAUUUUAUGCAAAUAAUUUUUAUAAUAAAAGAUCAAGAAAAAUAUUUUCUUUCUAUAUUGACGACGGAUUAAAUGGAAACCAUUCAUUAAGAUUAUGUAAAGGGGUGAUCAAAUUGUUCCCUUUUAAAAAAUAGAGACCAACUUGCAACAAUGUCCUUAAAUUGGGGAAAAUUUAGCAAUUUUUCUUUUGAAGUUUGCAAUAGCCUUUGUUUGAUCUCAUUAUUUUCAAAAUACAUUUUUCUCCAUCUUCUUUUCAACAAAACAUUAUUUAAUAAAAUAAUAUUACAUUUUUCAUCUCCUUAUGUUUUUCUUGCGCGAGAGGGUGGAGGAGCCAUGUUUAUUAAUGCUAAAUUAAUUGUAAGUAGUGGGUCACAAGAAAUAUAAGUGAGUUCUAAAAAAAUAUUUUGAUUUGAUCAAAUUAUAAUCAAUUAUAAGCACAGACAAAUCCGAGUUUAAAAUUUUAAUAGAGAACGUAGAGAUGCAGCAAUUUAGCAUAUGUUGGAUCCCGAUUAUUUGAGAAAAGUGGAUGGGGCCACUGAAGCAUAAAUGACAUUCAAUCAUAUUACUUGUACAAUGUAUUUUACAACUUGAUUUACAAUGUAUGACUUGGUAAACAUUACAUCCAUCUAUUUGAAAAACUGUUUUUAAAAUCAAUGGUCAGGAUUUUUUCAUCACACAUAUUGUCAAUCAAGUUGUGCAAAUACAUUGUACAACAUUUGCUUGUCAUUUAAAUAAUGACAAUGUUAAAAAAAAAAAAAUAUUUACAUCCACCCAUCAAUUAAUUGUUGUUUGAUUCCCAAAAUUACUACCAAUAUCACUUUGCCGAUGCCCUUCGUAGGGGAAUAUCACUCUUUGAAUUCAAGGAAAAAGUUAUGAUUAAAUAAAUAUAUUCUUUGAUUCACAUGAGUUUAGCGUUGUUGUUUUUCAGCUUAUUUUAAUUUGUGAAACAUUUUACAAAUAUUUAAUAGCAAAAAUAUACAAAAACAAAUAAAUAUUUAAUGCACGGUUUCAAGAUGACUGCAUAUAUUAUAAUAGAAAAUGAAAAGAGAUAUAAAUAAUGCAACUCUGUUUUUUAAUCAUAGCCUGAAAAUAUAGGGACAAUAUAAUACUUAAAUGGAAUAUAUGUCCUGAUUCAUGUGAUCUGUAGUUUCGUACGUUUUAUUAUUUAUUUUUUGUCUUUUGAAAUCAAAAUUUAAUAUUUUUCAAUAAUUAUUUAUUUUCUCUCUCAUAGAAUUAAUAUUUUUCUAUUUAUUUUUGUUUGAUUCCUUUUUGUUUAUUUAACACACAAAUAUCAAAAAUUAUGUUAAGAAUAUAUAUAUAGCAAUUAUUGACUUUAAACAAAAAAAACUCAUAUCCCCACUCCACAUCGCACGUUGAGAACACGGGUUAACAUAUAAAGGUAGGGAUCAUGUUACACUUACAAAUAUUUUUACAAAAUCAUUUACUCAUUACUCAUAAUAGAAGGUGGGGACCAUGAUUUGAUAUUUUUUGAAUUCACGUGGGAGCCGCUUGUUUUUUAGAGUAAGUAACCCAUUUUAUACACAUUUGUUCGUACAUAUAUAUUUAUCUAUAAAUGUAGAUAAGAAGGUGACUUGCAUGUGUCCAUAGUUGGGUCACACAUAAUUUUUAGUUUAACGAAAAUUUUACUAAAAAUUAAUUAAGAAUAAAAAAAAACUAAACUCGAUAGCAGAUAGACAAUUAGAUAUUAGGAAUGAAGGCUUCUAUACUCCAUGGCAAUAUUUAAAUAUGUUCAUUGAAUUGUUAGUACAAACUCCACUCCUUUUUAACCAUAAGCAAGUUGAGUAAAAGUUUAUAUGUUGUCAAAUAAAUGAAAAAAAAUUUGCCUCCCAGAGCACAGCUCAAUUGGUGGAUCAAUCAAUAUUUGUCUUGCUUCCAGCGAUAGGGUGGAGGUUCGAAUUUUGGUGGGAACCUGCGGCCAGAUUUAUUUGGUAUAGAGCAAUCACUUUGGAGGAGGAUCACUUGUGCGCAGAAGUGUACAGGCGGUGGGGGGAACCUGUGAUCCAGUUGAGGCAUAACCCGCGAUAUACCCCCUCCAAGGUUCUAGGGACAAGAAUCUUUAGGGUCUAGAAUUUAGUCUAGUGUAAGCCAAGAUACCUGGAUAUAAAAAAAAAAUAAUAAUAAUAAUAAAUGAAAAAUGAAAAUGACGGGUGAAGAUCUAUAUAUAAAUAAAUAAGAAGUUAAAAUUUUAAACUAUGGGGGAUGGGGCCGUAAAUAGACCAAUAGAAAAUGGUACGUCACUAGCAUUAUAUCAUUGGUACCAUUAGCAGUGAGAAUCAUAGAAGUGGCCCGUCGAAAUAUCGUAAAGGUGAAAGGACGAUGCUAAAAUAAUGUUAAAACUACCCCACGGGAAUCAGCCUGAAUAUUUUGUAGGUCUCCAGUCUAUGCAAUAAUUGAGUAACAUUUAGUUAGCACGGGUUUGACCUCUAUUUUUGACUAAAAAUGAUUUUUGGAAUAGCAUAUUGAAGCACAAUAUAUUUUUAAAAAUAAGAAAAAUUUUGAUUUUUUUUAUGUUAUUUUAUUGAAGAAUAUGUGAUUAAAAAGAAGAGAGGAAGAAAUUUAUUUUCGAAACAAUGAGCAUCAAACCAAGGCUCAAUCUUUUUUUCAUUUUCUUUAAGAAUUAGAUUUUUUUUAAAAAACAUACAAUUUAUAAAUUAAGUCAAUGUCAAAUAUUAAUUUCAAUAGUGCAUUCACAAUUAAUACUCAUUAUUAUCCACAUAUUUGGUGAAAUUCACUAUUAUUUUUACUUUAUAAAUUUGUCAAAUGGAAGGCUACUGUAUUUUGAUCACGAAGAUUGUAAAACAAUAUUCAGAUCUCAUUUAAUAUUAAAAUAUCAUGUAAACUAAUAUCAGGUUAUAAUUAAUUAGCAUGAAUACUAAACAUAAAGUAUAUUCAUUUAAUUAAUAUUGGAGAUACUUAGCGCCUGUUUGGUAUAUAUUAAAAUUAAAGUAAAUAAUAUGAAAAUUCAAAAUUAAGGUAUAUUUUUAAUUAAUUAAAAAUAUUUAUUAAAUAAAGAUAAUAAAAUCACAGUUAAACGAUUAAUGAUCACAGAUUCAUAAUUAUAUGUCACAAAUUAUUUCGUGAUCACAAAUCAAAAAAUUUAUAGGUUAGAUUAUUUCUAGGUCACAAAUCAUUCAAAUUACAGGUCAAAUUUUAUCUGUCACAUAAGUCACAAAUAAUUUUUUAGUCACAGAUACCUAAUUUUUGGUUACAAAUCAACGAAAUAAUGGGCCACAAACGCCAAAAUAGUCGGUUACAAAUUCCAAAUUGUUGGUUACACAUUCCAAGCAACUCCACCAUCGGUCCCGAUCCAACACCAAUCUUGGUCCUAAAUCACCACCACCCAAUCGCAGCUUGCACUACAUCACCGCAUCUCCAGACCCUAUCUCGAUCCCAUUCUAUCACAAUACUUGGUUACAAACACUAUCCACCUUCGCCACAACACCAUCACAACCACCGCCAACAACAACAACAACACCACCGCCGCAUGAAUACCACCAUCGCUACCCACCAACCACCACACUAAGCCAAGCCGACUACCAGUCACGCACCUGCUCCCCUUCAACAUACCAACAAUACUACACCACCACUACUGCAACCUUACCGCCAUAGUAGCACCACUACCACCAACAAAACACACCCCAAAUUUACUCCACAACCACCACAAAAUCAAAUUCACAGCUACCACCCCAAAACCAUGUCCCAAAAUAAACGACUGAAAACCACCCUAAAACCAUAGCUGAGCAUAGAUGUGUGCGAGGCUCAAAAGCGACAGUCAGAUCAAGGUGUGUAAAACGAAUGACAGCACACUACUCACAGCGCUGCUACUUGCAAUGGUUGGUGGUGAUGUCGCUGUGCAGACGAUCAUGGUAACAUUGCUGCGCCGGAGAUCCUCUUCCAAUGGCGGCGCCGCUAUUGUUGAGAGAGGAAAAAUUAGGGAGACGAGAAGAUAUGUGACUGCGAGAGAGAGAGAGAGAGAGAGAGAGAGAGAGAGAGAAUUGGGAAAACAAUCACCUGCACCAUCAACUAUUGCCACUGUGAGUUCACGGUAGUCUUCAACGAUGGGCAGCGGUGCCAGAGGUGUGGAGAGAGUAAGUAGAGAAGAUGAGUGAAAAUGAAAAUUUUAGGGUUUGGAAUUUGAAUGGAUAAGAUGGGUACCUGAUUUAUGAUUAAACAAACUUAUUAUUUGAUUUUUGAAUUGUAAUUUUGAAAUGCCUGGCUUUAUAUAAUUUCCACUUCUGGGCUUUGGACUUGUUAUUGAGCAAUCGCAAAUCCAAUUAUCAGAGCUUUAUUCCAGCCCAACAAAGGACUUACAAGGAUUCGACUUGAACUCAACUAUUUUUCCCAAUUACAAUCGAGGUAAAUAAUUAGAAUGCAAUGCAUUGCUAAAAUUUUGGACAAACCUAAACCUAGUAAAUAGGUUUUCGCCUGAUAAGUAGAAUUGGCGAUUGUUUGGUGGCUCUUUUCUUCUAUUGGUUCGAGGUGGAGUGAUUUUGAGUCAAACUUGAAAUCGAAACCAACUUGAUUGGAUAAAUUUCAACUUAAAUCAACCUGAUCCAACCGUUGAAACCAAACCAUACCAAAUCAAACCAUAUCAGAUUGGGCCGAUUUGGUUUGAUUUAUCGAUUUCGACAUUAGUACGAGUUAAAUUAAAUAAAAUAAUAUAUAUAAAUGUGUAUAUCAAUAAUAUAAAUAACGUAAAUGGUAUAUGGUCGAUUUUUCUAAACUCAUCCCAUAUAUCCGAUGGUUAUCGACAAACAAUUACACCAAAAUGAAUAGUAAGACUACUAUCUAAAUUUAAAGUUACAUCAAACACUUGUUCUCCUUACUUUCUUUUCUUUUGAUAUUUGGAGUUUUGGUAGAAAGAGCAUAGACGAUAAACAAAUUAUUAGAGAAAACAAUUAUAUUUAUGAUUUUAUGAUUUUUAUUUUAUUAAGUUAAAAAAGAUGAAUUUCAAAAUAAAAAAUGUACUAGCGAGUAGGUUUAGAGUUGGUUGUUUAAACCGAAAACAAUCCAAUCCGACUCUUUGAUACUUAAAAUUAAUCAAAUCAAAUUAAUUUUUUGGUUCAAACCAACUCGAAUCGAUUUGAUUUGUUGAUUUUGGUUGAUUUUUCGAUUUGUUUGCUCAUCUCUAGUUAUACAGUGAAUGGGAGGAGAAGCUACAUAGGAUGACCAUGAAAUUCCAGCAAUAAUUGUUGGAAAAAAAUUUAAAAAAUCAUCAGCCAUCAUUUUUAUCUCGAGGCUUAAAGCCAGACUCAAAAACAGGUUGACGUGGCCUGUUGAGUAAAAAAAAAAGAAAAAUCCUUGGAAAGUUUCGAACUUCAAUUAAAAUCACACACACAAAAUCUGAGACUCCCACCAUCCCACGACCUUUGUCCUCUGUCUCUCUCCGAAAGUCCCCAAAUCAAAUCCACUGAAUCGAUCUACCCUAAACCACAAACCCAAAGCGAAAUCACCCACAUUCCAAACCCUAAGCACAACCAAGCAGUUCUUCGGCCGCACUUCCAGUAGGGGUAACACUACGCCGCACUUUCGUCUUGGGUUUUGUUGUCACUAUUGAAAAAUGAUUUCAUUUUAAUUUUUCAUAAUCCCAACUAUGAAGAAUCUCUCUCCUU
rnacentral:lncRNA from 1 species